rnacentral:lncRNA from 1 species
UGUGACAGUACAUUUAGAAGUUCAGAGGAAACAAGGGGCUUUCUACGGUGCAGACUUGAUUUGUAGACUCGAAUCACACGCAGUAAGCUGCAUUGGUAUUUAGACCUGGUUGGAGAUUGCUGGUCAUUUCAAAGAUUUUCGACAUCCAUCAAGAUCUUUAUUAUACCAAGUUCCAAAUGCAAAACAUGAAACAGAAUAAGUAGAAUAAAAGCCUCAUGAAUUUUGAUGUUACCGACUUUUAGGCAGUCUUUUUAUAAACGUUUACUUCAUUUGCUUCUUUAGGAUAAAGGGUAUGAAGAUGCCAAGCCAGUGAUUGCUGCUCUUAAGAGCAAAGGUGUGUCUGCCAUUGGGGCUGCAGGAUUUUGUUGGGGAGGUAAAAUUUUCUGAAUUCACUUUCCCAGUUCUGAGGGGGUUGUGGGGUUAAGAAAUGGAAUAUUUGUUCUACAUUCACCGUAGAGAAACUAGUUUUGUUGACUUGCAGAAAAGUUCUUUCAAGUUGUUAAACAGAGCUUGCCUAUUCUUUUCAGGAAUGGUGCUGGUGAAAUUAGCAGGUACUGAAGACAUUCAAGCAGCAGUUAUUCUGCACCCCGGUCCUAUGACUGAAGAUGAAAUCAAAGGUAAAGCUAUGCCAGUAAACAUGGACUUGCUAUUUUCUUUUCAGCCGCAGCGAUAUAAUUUCUUAAUGAGGGUAUUAGACUUGGUACUUGGCACGGGAGCCUUUAUCGCCUAUUAUGAAAUGCUCAUGAACGAUUAAAUUUAUGAAUUCUGAUGGGAGUCUGCAAUGCAGCCGAGAGUGACAAAGAAACUCGCUAUAACAUGUCCGGUCAAUUACAAGAAAUCGAUGGCACAACUUUUGUCUGCUUGAGAAGUGUUCCUUAAACUGGAAGCCUUAAAGACCUUAUUUUCUUCUGUUCUUUGUCCAGCUGUCAAGAUUCCAACUGCUAUAUUGGGAGCUGAGAUCGACCAUUCUUCCCCGCCGGAACAACUGAAAAAGUUCGGGGAGAUCAUGUCGGCUAAAACUGAAGUAAGCUUCUUAGGAUGCUUUGCGUUGGUUGCAAACCAAUUGUCAGAAAAUGCAAUCGUUUUUCCACGUUCCCGUCAUUUCGCUUGCAAAGCACCUUUCCCUUCCUGGUUAUUUAUACACAUCGCUAAUUCAAAGACCCCGGUUUUGCAGUUUGAGAGCUAUGUGAAGAUAUUCCCUGGUGUUAGUCAUGGAUGGAGUGUGAGGUACGACGACGACAAUGAAUUUGUGGUCAAGAGCGCCGAAGAGGCCCAAGAGGAUACUUUGAAUUGGUUCUUGAAGCAUGUCAAGUGAAGAGAACCGAAGGCAUUGAAGCACAACAUUCUGACGGAAGCAUUAGAUGACUGUAUUGUGUGAGACGAACAGUUUGAGGACUAGUCAUCUAUUGUAAUAUCUGGCGAGGGAACAAUGUACUGUGCUGUUGAUACUUAGAGAAAUAAAGACAUUGGUUUCAUCGCUUAAACUUGGAAGAUUGAAAACGAAAUAUAUCGCCUAGAGUUGUAUCGUGGCGAUUUUCGUGGCGAUUUGGGUGCAUUUUCUAUUCGAAUUGAUCAGAGGUGUUCACUGUCCAUUAAAUGAGGACCACACAAUGGAAUAUGAAACAGCAUAUUCGUUUCCCAAUCCCCUUUUUGAAGGAUAUGUUAUUGCAUGGUUACCACCAAGUCAUCAGCUAAAGUGGCUAAUAUCUAAGGUAAUCUCUAGACCACUUAAUUUUGAAUGCAUCCAUUAUAUUAUAAGUUAUAACUUGACAAAUAUGCGAGCAAUUAAGAUUUCAUUAAAAGAUACACGAUCUCAAAAUCGCAUGCCCCAAGAAAAAAAAAGAAAAAGAGAUGAAAGUAAGGAUAUGGAGAAAAAUAGUAUCCAAAAUAUAUGAGAAACCAACUAUUCGAACUUAUGACAAAAGCGAAGCGUUUGUUUUUGGUCAAGUCUAUAUGAUAGUAGGUCAAGAUUUUUCGAAACUAAAUCAGAUAGACAUGGAAAAAUUCGUCCUUCAUGUAUAUGGUAUAUAUUUUCGCAAUGUGCAUUUGUAUACUGACCAAAAAAUUUCAGCUUUUGGCCAGAUGGUGUUUUUUUGUGAGAGGACGCAUGUCUCUAUCGGGCUAAAUAUAUAAUGGUUUCGUCUUUGUUCGUUUCUCGUCUGUUUCUCACCGGCCCUCUUUCUUGUUUGACAUCAGCAGUGACGUUAAUACGAACCACGAGACCUUUGAUGACUAAUCCGAACCAUAAGAUUACACGGGCAAGGUGUCUGCAAGAGUAACUUUUUCAGACGCUGUGAUAUCGUAUCGCGGAUAAGCCAAUGGUUUUCAGAAGGCAAAGCAUGAUUCCACUUAGCGACCAGUGAAUCACCGUAUCAUCUCUCGUCUCUUGGCUCUGUUCUUACCUCGGAAAGAAUAAAGAAACGAAGAAAAAGACCAUGAACAGUAAACAAUGAAAGAAAAGAGAAGAAAAGAUCAAAAUAUCUAUAAAUUUUUUCAAAACGACGUCGUUUUGAGUGGAGUUGUGCAUGUCAAUAUCACUAACCCUUGCCAUGUAAGAUGACAAGCAUUGAUUUGCACCUCUACAUCAGAAUUUCCUGACAUAAAUUAGUUGGAUAGACAAUAUUACAAAAUUGUUGAAAGGUUCAUGACUACACUAGCCGAAUUGGACAGUUUAUUACAAAAUUGGAACUUGUACAAUUUGUUCACAGCUUUUGGGUAGUUUUUCCCAUCUUAAGUAAGUCGUAAUUCUAAUACAUGGAUGCAUAAGCUCUAUGCUUUUCUUAUUAUGAAGGUUGAAUUCCAUUUGAAGGUUAGGUAAUCGUUUUCUGGUUUAGGUAUUUAUUUUUUGUCCUAUGGUGAAUUAGGUGAUGCUUUUUUCGCCUCGUUGGGACAGAGAAAACUGCUUUGUCUCCAAUCCGGCAACUUCCAUAUUGCUGAACCUGGACAUGAAUUUAGUAUCUGUAACACAAUUGUUGAAAUAACCUAAUGAAAAAACCUAGAUUGGUCGAAAUUGGUUGAUUUGGGUCAUCUAGGAACCGGCUUGUUGAAUUAAAGUCUAUCAAACCCAUUGGUUGAUCCAGGCUGAAAUUGGAUUAGUCCACUUAUCAAUUGCGUUAACAUGUCAGGGCUCAACAGCCGGCAAUUAUCUGGAUUUGUAAGAAAGAUCCAUGCAUAGCCGGUGAUGGGCCUUUCUCUCUUGGAAAUUGGACAUUGCUGAAAAAUGCUUUCAAAGAUCUUUCUAUUGGAGUUUUCGAAGUUCUCCAUAUCCACAAAAAAUGUUUAACUUUUACUAGUUCAAAUUUUCAAAUGAGAUAAAAAAAAAAAUCAUUUUGAGAUGUUUGCUUUCAAAAGUUUCUAAAAUAAGUUUCUAAAGAAAAAUACUCGAGUUUAGCGCACAUCAGACGAUCCCUUCCUCGAGACUGUGGAGUGGUUCCUCGGGUCCAAGAUUCGGGGACAAGGGGGUAGGUUUCCCAAGUCCAAGCACUGGAUUCUACGCACUCCCGAGGCUUAGGUACGAGGCAUCGGAAGUAGGGGACCGAGGUCCCAUCUUGCUCUGUUGCGUAGUGGCGAGUGUUGGGGUCCCUGGUUCAACGCACCAACGUCCCGAGUCCAGCUACUGAAGUUUCAGGACUAAGCAUGGUGGUCUCGAAUUUGACCCACAAGCACCCAAGAUAUUGGGUCCUAGCACUUGGUUCCUAAGUUCGACCCUAAGGUCCUAUGUUUCGCAGCUGAAGUUCCCUAUCUCCAUAGAUGAGGCGAUCAGGUUCUCGAAUUUAGAUGAUAAGGUCUUGGUUUAGCCCUAGGUCAAGGGCAUGGGGAUUGGGGUCCCAAGUUCAAGGGUCGAUGACACGGGCGUGUAUUUUAAAUAUUAUAACUUUUUACUAAGUUCCUUGAUAUUUAACAUAUGCUAGGAUAGAAUUUCUUUGUAAUUUAAUUAGAAUUUCAUUAGUUCUUCAAAUAUGUUAAGUUUUCUUGUUAUAUAAAAUAUUGAGAGUUUUCCUCUGUUGCAUUCAUGUGUGUGCGCCAUCGUGUGUAGUGCGAGUGUUCACUUGUGUUGGCAAAUUGCCACUUGUGCAAUCACUCUUUUAUGUUACAUUAAACGGGUCCGGCAUUUGAGCACCGAUGUCUCAAAUUCAACCUUAAGAUGCAAAGCCCGGCCUGUCACACCCCAAAAACUACAAAGAAUGGGGAUGACACAAAGGUCCUUCUUUACAAAGGACGUAGCCUCAAACACAACCAGCAAACUGAUAUUAACUUAUAUAUAUAUCAGAUAAACCUUCAAAUUGGUUGCAACAUCAGAGUUCCUAUAUGUUGGAGAAAUCUUCCUGGAGUAUUUUGAAGCUGAUAAAACGUUUCCAUCAGUCUAGUCUGAAGAUUUGCAGACUCUACUAUUUAAAGUCUGAAGACCUCUGGACUGCCAGACUCAAGACUCAAAGUCUAUUCUCAUUGACAGUUUCUAAUCCGUCAAAGAAGGGCUAUCCAGGACUGGAUGUUUCGUUAAUGAUUUGACCUUAUCGAUUGGAGAAGAUCUCUUGGCUGUAUAUGACAUAACGGAAUCCUUUAUUGACUCAAAGAUUGAGGAUCUGAUGAUUGGCGGAGUAUACUUGGAAGGUUCUACUUAUGGAAACCGAGAUCCUGAUUGUAUGGGCGAGCAUGAUUAUGGGCUAUCGACAUAUUCCUUAAAUAGCUCGAAUGAUCUUCCUAAUUGAUUCUGUCCAACGGGAAGGUUGGAAGAAUUCCUUUGGUAAAUGCCAACGGGUAUGAUGGCAUAAAGGAGUAUAUAAGGAAGACGUUUAAGUUGUUCAAGUGUGUGUGUGAUAAAAGAAUUCCAAAGUCUGAAGCUCUUUGUUCUUAGUCAAUUCAUUUUCUGAGCGAAAUCUUGUACGCAAAAGAGAGUCCAUAUUCUUGAGAAACCUUGAGGAAGUGUGGUAGAGUAUUUACACUAUGGAAUCAAGGGAAAGCCUUGCUGUAACAACUCUUUUGUUUAUAGUGAAAUCCAGCCGGUGGGCUGUUAGUGCGGAAGAGUGGACGUAGGCUUGGAAUAAGAUGAACCACUAUAAUUUAUGUGUUCAUUUUCUCUUCCCUACUCUCUGCUUUACUUUGAUCAUAAUUUGCUUUGUUAACGAAAGGAGAACUUCCUUUCUAUUGUUUGCUUAGUAUUGCUCUCUUAUCUCGAGAAAAUAUUUUUUACACCUAUUCACCCCCCUCUAGGUGCUUAUACUAGAUAUCUCAAUUGGUAUCAGAGCCUGUGUACUCACUUUGUUUGAAGUGUUUUACUUUAGAGUUAAAGAUCCAUGGCUAGUAUGUUAGCUCCAGGGCUAGUAGAAGGGCAAAGCAAUACCAGACCACCUUACUUUGAUGGAAAUGAAUACAACAUAUGGAAAAACAAGAUGAAGGCGUUCCUAAGAUCAAAGGAUCCUCUGGAAUGGGACGUUAUAGACAACGGAAUCAUUCCUAAAGCUGCACCUGUCUUAGAGAGAGGAAAAGAAACUGUUGAGUCUAGUGAAAUGACUUAGGAAGAGAUAACCAAGAGACAAGCUCUUGAUGCAAAAGUAAUUUAUUCUUUAUAUUGUGCUUUGUCACCUACUGAAUAUAACAGAUUAUCUUCUUGUGUUACAGUGAAAGAAGUUUGGGAUAGAUUACAUAUUACCUAUGAAGGAACCGAUCGAGUGAAAGAAACCAGAAUCAACAUUCUCCUCGAUCAAUACGAAGCAUUCAAAAUGAAAUCAGGAGAAUCUAUAACUAACAUGUUUAGUCGUUUUACAGAAAUCGUGAAUGGUCUUGAAAAUCAAGGUUAACCAAUUUCUGAUCACAUGAAAGUAAACAAGCUACUGCGUGGACUCUCCAAGGAUUGAAAUCACAUAAAGACCUCAAUAAGGGAGACACAAAGAAUUAUGCCACUAUCUAUCGAUGAGUUGGUUGAGACUCUUCAGUCUUAUGAAGUGGAACGAAUCAAUGAAGACGAAGAUCCUAAAGGUAAGAAAUCCAUUGCAUUAAAAUCCAAUGAUGAUUCUGAUGUUACAGAUUCUAAAGACGAUAUGGAUGAUGAGGAGCUUGCUCUCAUGAUAAGAAGAUUCAGAAAGCUGAACAGAAAAGGAAGAAGAUUCAAUCCAAAGAAACAAAGUUUUCAAAAGCAACAAACUAAGUCCGUUGAGGAUGAUGAAUCAAAUAGAGAUGUAGUCUGCUUUGAAUGUAAGAAAAAUGGACACAUCAGACCCAACUGUCCUCUUCUGAGGAAGAAGAAAGGAAAAGUUGAAAAGUAUCAAAAUGCUCUUAAAGCAGAAACCUGGAGUGAUACAGAAUGUGAAGAAAGUGAUGAUGAUUAUGCCAAUUGUCUGGUGGCACAAUCGGAUUCAGAUUCAAACUCCGAGACAAACUCAGAUUCAGACAGUGAAGUUGAGGUGAGUAACUCUAAAAUCCCUAUUAAAGUUUCUAAAUACAUUGAUGAGUUGUGUUUUAGUCUUAAGACUUCUCUUAAAAGGAUUUCCGAACUUAAAAAGGAAAAUUCUGCAUUGAAACAACAGGAAAAUGUUUUGAAAGAAAAUGUGAAAUGUUUAGACAUGAAUGUUUCUACUCUUAAAGAAAGAGAAGACAACCUUUCGAAAGAAAAUGUAUUUUUAAAAAAUGACAUAUCAAAUAUUUUCAAAAGAUUUUCAAUAGGAUCUGAGAAACUUGAGAAAAUUCUUUCAGCAUAAAGACCUUAUUUCAAUAAAUCUGGUUUGGGAAUGACUGUGGAAACCAUUCCUUUAAUUGAUUUUCCUAAAGUGAAGGAAAGAAUUAAGCAAAGACCCAUAAGAGAUGCUUACAAAAAUCAUUUUAAAAAGGUCUUUGUAAAACCAAUAGGUCAGAAUGCUCUCAGAUGUUCAAAGUGCAAUAGUUCAAAUCAUUUUGAGAAAGAAUGUCCUAUGGUUUGGAAACCUGUUAAGAAAGUAUGGGCAAAAACCGCAUAUCAUACUAACACCAAUGGACCCAAGAAAAUAUAUGUACCAAAGAAAGUUUGAGUCUCUUUUUUAAAUGCAGGUCACUAUCAAGAAGAAGGUAAAAUGGUAUCUGGAUAGUGGAUGCUCAAGACAUAUGGCAGGAGAUUCAAAUUGUUUCAUAAAGCUCAUUCACGUAAAUGGUGGAAAAGUCUCAUUUGGAGGAAACAACAAAGGAAGAAUUGUGGGAUUCGGAACUGUAAAUAUUGGAAACCUCACAAUCAGCAAUGUUUCCUUAGUGGAAGGACUCAACUACAAUCUGCUCAGUAUCAGUCAGCUGUGCGAUACCGGUUUCAAAAUCAACUUUCAAGAAGGAAUAUGUUCAGGAACCAGUAAAGAUUCUACUAAGUCAUUCAUGGGUUGAAGACAUGGAAAUAUCUACCUCUUGGACGUGAAACCAAAUGAAUCGCAAUGUCUAAUCUCAAUUCAAGAUGAAGUGAACUUAUGGCACAUAAUACUUGGGCACAUCAAUAUGAAGCAAAUAGCCAAAAUUUCAGCAAAGAAGCUAGUUCGUGAUAUACCCAAUCUGUCAUACCAAAAGUCUGAUCUAUGUACACCAUGUGUAUUGGGAAAGCAUGUAAGAAAUUCCUUUAAACCAAUAAAUCAAGUUUCCACUAAUCGUGUACUGCAGCUUCUACAUAUGGAUCUCUUUGAAUCAACCAGAACUCAGAGCAUUAGAGGUAAUAAAUAUUGCCUAGUAAUUGUGGAUGACUACUCACGAUUUACUUGGGUAUAUUUCCUGACAAGUAAGUCUGAAACAUUUUCUUACUUUGAAAAGUUUGCUAAAAAGAUUCAAAAUGAAAAAUGGUAUGUUAUUUCAAGUAUAAGAACAUACCAUGGAGGUGAAUUUGAAAAUCAGGAUUUUACAAAAUUUUGUGAUAAAUUUGGUUUUCAACAUGUGUUCUCCUCUCCAUAUACUUCAGAGCAAAACGGAGUUGUGGAAAGAAAGAAUAGGUCGCUUCAAGAAAUGGCUAGAACUCUUUUAAUUGAAAGUAACAUCUCUUCACGUUUUUGGGCUGAAGCAGUUUCUAUAGUAUGUUAUAUUAUUAAUGGAGUUUUUCUAAGACCUAUUAUGGAAAAAACCCCCUAUGAGUUAUUCAAAGGAAAGAAGCCUAUUGUUUCAUAUUUUCAUGUGUUUGGAUGUAAAUGCUUUAUAUUGAAAAAUACAAAUGAUCGAGUUGGCAAGUUUGAAGAAAAAUCAGAUGAAGGCAUCUUCCUUGGAUAUUCUACCUCAAGCAAAGCCUACAGAGUCUACAACAAGAAGACUCAAUCUGUGGAGGAAUCAAUGAAUGUCAAAUUCCAAGAUUCUAUGCAAAAUGAAUCUAUUCAAACUCAUCUUGAAGAAUCUGAACUUGCUCCAGACUCUACAAAGUCUAAAUCUCAAGAAGCAGUUCAAACUUCGAAAGACUAGCAUCAAAUGAUUGUUGAAUAUUCAAAUGAAGAAAGUGAUCAUCAACCUGACAAAUCAACCGGUAACUGGAAGCAUAAGUCCAGUCAUCCCAAAGAUCUCAUUAUAGGCGACAUUAAUGAAGGAAUUCGCACAAGAUCCAAAAUGCGCGAAGAGUCUAGUGCUGUGGCUCUUAUUUCUGAAAUAGAACCCAAAAGCAUAGAAGAAGCUUUAUCUGAUGAAAGCUGGAUUGAAGCCAUGCAAGAAGAACUCAGGCAAUUCAGUAUUAAUGAUGUCUGGGAAUUGACUCCUAAACCGAAAGGUAAAUCUAUUAUUGGAGCUAAAUGGGUUUUCAGGAACAAGAUGGACGAGAAAGGAAAGGUCAUAAGAAACAAAGUAAGACUCGUGGCCAAGGGAUAUACGCAAGAAGAAGGGAUAGACUAUGAUGAGACUUACGCACCAAUAGCGAGGUUAGAAGCAAUUAGAUUAUUACUUGCUUUUGCUUGCUAUAAGAAUUUCAGGUUAUUCCAAAUGUACGUCAAAAGUGCUUUCCUGAAUGGAUUUAUCCAUGAGGAAGUCUAUGUGGAACAACCACCUGGGUUUGAAGACCCAAGGAAACCGGACUCAAUAUUCAGAUUGAAAAAGGCUUUAUAUGGUUUAAAGCAAGCACCUCGAGCUUGGUACGACAGGCUGAGUAAAUUUUUAAUUCAAAACGGUUUUGUCAAAGGUAAAGUAGACACUACUCUAUUUAUCAAAAGAGAAAGCAAAAGUUUUCUGCUUGUUCAAAUAUAUGUUGAUGAUAUUAUUUUUGGAUCCUCUUAUCAAAGUCUGUGCAAGAAAUUCUCUAAGUCUAUGCAGGAUGAAUUUGAAAUGAGCAUGAUGGGUGAACUAACCUUCUUUCUUGGACUUCAAGUGAAACAAUUGAAUAAAGGAACCUUUAUUCAUCAAGAAAAAUAUGCUAAUGAUCUUGUCAAAAAGUUUGGACUGGAAAAUUGCAAAAAGACUGAUAUACCAAUGUCAAGUUCUUUAAAGAUAGACAAAGAUGAAGGAGGAAAGAAGGUUGACCAGAAGCUAUACAGGAGUAUCAUUGGUUCACUUCUUUAUCUUACUAUUUCUAGACCUGACAUUUUGUUUAGUGUUUGCAUUUGUGCUAGAUUUCAAGCAGACCCUAAAGAAUCUCAUCUAAGUGCUGCAAAGCGUAUUAUCAAAUACAUUGCAUCAACUUCAAGCCUUGGUCUUUGGUAUCCUAAAAAGGGAGACUUUACUUUUCUUGGAUACUCAGAUGCAGAUCUAGCCGGAUGCAGAGUUGAUAGAAAGAGCACCUUGGGUAUCUGUCAACUACUUGGAAGCAGGACAGUGUCUUGGUUUUCAAGGAAGCAAAAUAUAGUGGCUCUUUCUACAGCAGAAGCAGAGUAUGUAGCUCUUGGAAGUUGUUGUUCACAAAUUCUGUGGAUAAAACAAUAGCUAAGAGACUUUGGAAUUGAAGAUUCAUGCACGGAGAUUAACUGUGACAACACCAGCGCAAUCAAUCUCACCAAUAAUCCAAUUCUUCACUCAAGAGCAAAGCAUAUAGAGAUUCGACAUCACUUCAUUAGAGAUCAUGUUCAGAAUGGAGAAGUUUCGAUUCAGUUUGUUGACUCAAAGAACCAACUGGCGGAUAUAUUUACAAAGCCGUUGGAGAAAAAUCAAUUUGAAAUCAUUCGUUCCAGACUCAACAUCUUGAGGUUUGAAGAAGUAAAAAUCUAGAGACUCUCAGACUCAGACAAUCAAGAUCGUUGAUUGUAAGUUAUUUUAUUCUCUCUCAGAUUAAAUCUUGAAAAGGUACGAUCAUAUGUCCAUAAUUGAUUUUUGCUACUUUCAAUUUCCGUGAUUAGUGCAAUCUUUCUUUUUCGAAAAUGGAGUUAAUUUUUAAAUGGCAGUUAUCUAUUUUUUUUGAAAAAGGCAGUUAUUUUUUAAAAGGGCAUCUUUUUACUUUUCAUUACGACGUUUUGUAUGCCUCUCUUCGACUGACCUAUAUACUGUUGGUUUCUCUUCGUUUAACUCCAAAAACUCUAAAAAGCAUCGAUCUUCCACUUCUGUCUUCUUCUCUUGUUUAAUCUUCGAAAAGUUGUCAUUUUUCUUGGGAAAGUCAAGUUUGGAAUCUUUCAAAGACUGUGAAAGAUGUCGUCUCAAAGGAAGUCUUCGAGGAUCGCGAACAGGGGACCGCAGCAAAUGCGUGAGGGGCCUACGCACUUUGAUCUCACCAAGGAAGAAGAGUCUCCUAGUCAGUAGCAGAGCCCACGACAUUCUCAGCAGCGUCCAUCUUCUCCAUCUAGACCACAGGAUGUUGCUCGUCGAGAAGAGGAAUAAAUAAUUGAAGAUGCAGAAUCGUAAGAACUUUUAAGCCCUCUUUUACCUACAAGCUUUAUCGUGCUUUGAAAAGGGGUGGAACUCCUUUGAAUUACAUUGAUGAAUUUCUGAAAGACAAAGGGUACAAAAAUGAAACCUUUUUUUUUUACGCACAAUGGAACGGUUGGGAAUUGCCCUUGCUGGGUUGGCAGAAGAGGCAAUGUCAAAUAUUCCAAUCGAUCCACGUGUUGGAGGGCUGAAUCAGCCAGAUGGGAAUGAUGAUGACAAGUUGUACAGUCAGUUUCAACCGAGAAUGGGUGUUGUGGCAAAAAUUUGGAGCAAAAGGACAGACUUGUUUCGAUCGGAGGAACACAAGCAUCUAUACUCUAAGUUGUUGAAGCGUGGGGUCAUAAACCCUAGAAGUGUGGAUUUUGAUUUCCUUGACGCUGUGAACGUUAAUUUGAGGGAAAAAUUCAGUCUUCUUCAACUUGAACAGUUCUGUUCUGAAUCUACAGAAGCCUAUGCUGAACUCACUACAUACUUCUAUUCAAAUCUCAGUUUCUUAGAUGCGAAUAGAUUCUCUUUUAGUGUCCGAGAUCAGGACUAUGUGGUGGAUGUAGAUAUGUUGGCUGAUGUGAUUGGGGUUGAGAGAGGGAGAUAUCAACCUAUAAAUGUCUCUAUUGCUCGUGCUACGUUAGAACUUGUUAAGGAUAGAAGGAUAGAGGGAAAGGUUUCCUACUCGAGGAUGAGUGCGUUCAACAUUCUACUUCACAAGAUUGUGAUCAAUUGCCUCAGACCAAAAUCUACUUCAAAGACUGAUGUUUCAAACUCAGAGGCAAAACUGAUGUAUGCCAUCAAUGCUGGGAAAAAGUUCUCUCUUCCUCAUACUAUUAUAUUACACAUGUAUAGAGCAGUGGUGAAAGACAAGGGUCAAAUUCCUUAUCCAGCUCUUGUGACAAAGUUAUUUAGACAUUUGAAUGUUUAGCCUCCCCGGAUUCUCUGUGUUCGAAUUUGUGAUCAAAUGGUAGUGGGACUGAAAAUGGUAUCUAAAAUGCAUCUGAAGGAACUCAACAAGGCGUUGGAGAAAUUUAAGGAGAAAACCCCUGUCAAAACUCAUCAAAUCUCUUUGGCAACAAAAAGAAAAGGGAAGGAGCCCAUGGUUGCUCCAUCCAAGAAAAGAAGAGCUCUCAUUGUUGAGGAUGAAGAAGAUGAGGAAGACAUCACCAUUACUGCAAUGGCAUUGAAGAACCUGAGUUGUUCUGUUCCAGAAUCAACGGAACGACAAGAGAAAGACACAGAACAGAGGACUGGAGAAAGAGAAGAUUUGGAAGCAGAAGAGAAAGAAACAUAGGAGAGAGAAGCUGAAGAAAGAGAUGCGGAGGAUGAAAGAAUUAAAGAAGAAGAAGAAGAAGAGGAAAAAGAAGAUCAAGAGGAAGGAGAGCAUGAGGAACACUCUUCUCCUCCUGAAGGCAUGGAAACAAGGGGAGAUUGUGAGAAAAGAGGAAUAUCCUCAUAUCCUACUACCAGUGAAGGAGUCAGCCGCUCUCCAGCAGAUCUAGAGGACAUCUAUGUCUCUCAAUUUCCUGAGGAGGGACAUGAUGUUUCAUUGCCCAAUCUGCGUGACUAUGCUGAUUUGCCAUCAUCUGCCUUUACUCCAUUUGAUCGUGCAGAAGCUAGUACGCAGACUGAUAAUUCAGCAGAUUUUCACAGAAUUCUUGAUGUUCUCUUAGAAAUGCGGGGUCGGAUAUAUGCUCUGGGAUGCGAAGUACAGAAUUUGCAGACUGCAAAUCAAGCUUCUUCAGUUUCUUUGGAUGAUCAGAUCCAAGCCCUUACUCUUCAGAUUCAAGCAAAUGCUAAGGGUGAAGAGGUGGCUCAACUGAAGGAAGAGUUGACAAAGCUGGAAGGCAUUGUCCAGUCAAUGGGAGAUUUUCAGCUUGUUCGUGUUCCCAAGCAUUCUUGAUUCCAUCUCAACCUUUUUUAUGAUGACAAAAAGGGGGAGAGAUGUGAUUUGAACUUUGAACCUUGAACUUUUUUGAACUUGAUCUUGAACUUUUGAUUUGUUUUGAUGUUUGACUUGACUUUUGUGUCUGGCUGUGGACUAGAUUUGGGAUUUUGGAUUGACUGCUUAUAUUAAGUACUAUUGAUAUCUUAUGGAUGGCUUUACUCAUAUGCAAGACUAACCUAUUUUCUGUGGUUACAGAUUUUAGUGUUAUCAAUAAACCAUUUAUCUUUAUGAGAUAUCCAUAUUUGCUUGAGUAAUAUUUUGCAGGUCAAAGUUAUCCAAACUGUAGGAAAGUUUUGUCACCAUAAAAAAGGGGGAGAUUGUUGGAGAAAUCUUCCUGGAGUAUUUUGAAGCUGACAAAAUGUUUCCAUCAGUCUAGUCUGAAGAUUUGUAGACUCUACUAUUUAAAGUCUGAAGACCUCCGGACUACCAGACACAAGACUCAAAGUCUAUUCUCAUUGACAGUUUCUAAUCCAUCGAAGAAGGGCUAUCCAAGACUGGAUGUUUCGUUAAGGAUUUGACCUUAUUGACUAGAGAAGAUUUCUUGGCUGGAUAUGACAUAACAGAAUCCUUUAUUGACUCAAAGAUUGAGGAUCCGAUGAUUGGCGGAGUAUACUUGGAAGGUUCUAUUUAUGGAAACUGAGAUCCUGAUUGUAUGGGCAAGCAGAAUUGAUGGGCUAUCGACAUGUUUCUUAAAUAGCUCGAAUGAUCUUCCUAAUUGAUUCUGUCCAACGGGAAGAUUGGAAGAAUUCCUUUGGUAAGUGCCAAUGGAUAUGAUGGCAUAAAGGAGUAUAUAAGGAAGACGUUCCAGUUGUUCAAGUAUGUGUGCGAUAGAAGAAUUCCAAAGUCUGAAGCUCUUUGUUCUUAGUCAAUUCAUUUUCUGAGCGAAAUCUUGUACGCAAAAGAGAGUCCAUAUUCUUAAGAAACCUUGAGGAAGUGUGGUAGAGUAUCUACACUGUGGAAUCAAGGGAAAGCCUUGCUGUAACAACUAUUUUGUUCAUAGUGAAAUCUAACCAGUGGGCUGUCAGUGCGAAAGAGUGGACGUAGGCUUGGAAUAAGCCGAACCACUAUAAUUUCUGUGUUCAUUUUCUCUUCCCUACUCUCUGUUUUACUUUGAUCAUAAUUCGCUUCGUUAACGAAAGGAGAACUUCCUUUCUAUUGUCUGCUUAGUAUUGCUCUCUUAUCUCGAGAAAAUAUUUUUACACCUAUUCAUUCUCCCUCUAGGUGCUUGUACUAGCUAUCUCACUAUAAUCCACCAAAAAGAGAAAAGAGAUAUACGUUUAAAACUUAGAUGAUCCAACCACUAGUAAGGAUCAUUUGCAUCACUUCCUUAAACUAUACCAAAAACAAAAUAGAACUCCCCAAAAGUUUCCCACGACAGUGAACUCGCUCUAUUUGCCGCUAGCUGAGGAACCUAAAAAGAUCAAAGGAGGAAUAGGAUGAGCAACCAUAGCUCAGUGAGUAGUACAUAUCUUCUAAACAGAUCGAACAAUCACUAUGCAUAUAUACAAAGCAAUACCAAACUUCAUAACGCCAGCUCAAUAUAUAAAAUACGUAUUGAAUCUUAUAAGAGUUAUUUCUUAUCAUCAAAUAUUUAUAGUAAUAUGGAAAACUCAUUUGAAUCACCAUCAAAAGUCAAGUAUCAAUGGUUGAAUCCAUUGAAUAAUCUCCAUCAAAAACACAUAUCAAUGGCCUAUCCAUUGAUUAAUCUUUUGCUCAAUAACUAACCAUGGUCACGACACAACGCCUUGUGACAAGGCAACCAAGAUUCUCCCUUUGGCAAGGUUUCCACCUACAAAGCCGGUGGCUGAGCCCAGAAGGAUAUCAUAAACCUGGUAUGUAUACCCCAAAUUGAGCAUAAAUAACCAUUCUCCAAUACCAGAAAUCCAAUCCAAAAAUCAAUAUCUUAAACCAAACAAAUAACAUUUUGCAACAUAGCCCAUCAUCCAUUUCAUACUCAUUUCUCAAAUCAUUAAAUCUUUCCAUAAAUCAGUUGCAAAGCAAUUUCAUAUAUGUUUCUUCACAAACCUUGUAUAACGUGCUUUUCAAAGAUUCACAAUCAACCAAAGGGUAGCAAUUGUUCGAUCUGGCUUUUAUGCAAUAAAAAUGCUCUUCUCAAUUCAAUACAUAUACAUAUACAUAUAUAUAUAUACUUCAAGACAUGAUUUUAUAAAACCAAAGAAAAUAUAGUACUACUCACCUUGUCGUCUAUGACCAAACGACAAAUGAUACUUGCAUCGUCGAACUCAAGGCCCUAUCAAAUAACCGAAGAAUAAUGUUAAAAUCUAAUAAAAUUUUAUCUCGACUACAAAAUGACUAAGUUACACCUUAACUCUAACAAAAGGACUUCUGCGUGCUAACAAGUUGCAUAACCAAAGCGAUUGUUCAAGCCAUUCGCAACAUGAAGUUUAAGCGCAAAACUUGAUCGAGCCUUAACUCUCUCUUCCAAACCCCGAUCCAAACGUACUUAUAGUCAAUAGAGAGCCCUUGACACAUAUUGCAAGAAUCUCAACUUCACCGUCCCAAAAUCAAGCCAAAAAAUGACAAAAUACGGGCCAAAGCUGCUGGACGCGUACUGUUCACUGCGCACGGAAAACUUUGAAAUUUUGUUUCGGACAAACCAUAAGCUCAAAUCAUGAUCCGUAAAAUCUCACGGCUCCACAACACCCUAAACUACCAUUUCUACAAAAAUAUGCGGCUCAACGACUCUAAAAUCAGAUUUCGCCGCUCAAUUUUCCAAAAAUUUCGAAUUUGAGUCCCAAAUUCAAAAAUUACUUCAAUUGGAUGAACGAGGGACUCGAUCUCUUACCGGAUGCUGCGUUAUGGAGUCGAGUCGGCUUGGUGAGGUAUCCGAGGCGUGCACAUGCCAAAACUCCUUUCCUUUCUUCCCCUUUCUCUUCUUCUUCUUCUUCUUCUUCUUCUUCUUCUUCUUCUUCUUCUUCUUCUUUUCUUUCUUUUCUUUUUGGUCGAGGAAACUCUCAGCUUCUAUUUAGCCGAGCCCUCUCCCAUCUCUUUUUUCUUUUUUCUUUUUUAUUGCGUUUUUAGCUUUUCGACUUCUUUUUCCGUUUCUUCUUUUGGGGCCUUUAAAACUUCUUUUUCUGUUUCUUCUUUUGGGGCCCACUAGCCUAAUGUUACAUGGCCCAUCAGGCAUCGGGUUUGAAGAGUAGGUUAUUAGGAUCUUGAGUUCUUUCCUUGAUAUCUUGAGUCCUGAAUAUGGGAAUGGUGUUGGUGGUGGUGGAAGUCAAAUCAGAUUCUAGAAAAUGUUGAGUCCUUUCAAGUGGCGGAAAUUUAUUUCCAAAAUCUGAGUGAAGAUUUCUAAUGGAUUAAAAAAAUUCUAUAUUAAAUCAUGUUUCUAAACAACGUCAAAAGGCAAAAGAUGAAGCAGGUAUUUUACCAGCUAAUUUCCGACAAGACAAACGGCUCAAACGUAAUUCAUUAUGCAGAAGCUCCCUGAGACAAAAGGAUCACUUGAUUUUUUAUGGUUCGUUCUCAAAGCAGAUAUGUUCCAGACUUUUUACAAAGAUCAAUUGAUCAAGCGUAUUGGGAAAGUGAGCUUCAAUGAGCUUUAGAGUUUUGACCAUUGAAAAGGGGAAUUUUUUUUUUUGGUAAGGUUGAAAAGGGGAAUUUUUCUAUAUCAAUCAUCUUGAAGUUGGCAUAGGGUGUUUCUAUCAGUUACUCAAAUCUCUUUUAGCUAUUGUUGAAGCAAGCGUCAUUUGACUUGAUUGGUCGAAUUAGGCGGAAUCCACACGUGUAAUCACCUCACCUUCGUGUUCUUUUGGACUUACCCAAUGAAGCACAUAUUUCUAUUUCUCCAGCAAUUAUCUAAUGCACAUGGUGUCACACCUUAAAACUACAAAGAAUGGGGAUGACACGGUCGUCCUUCUUUACAAAGGACGCAGCCUCAAACACAACCAACAGACUGAUAUUAACUUAUAUAUCUCAAACCAUAUAUUUAUCAGAUAAACCAACAAAUUGGUUGCAACAUCAGAGUCUCUAUAAUCCACCAAAAAGAGAAAAUAGAUAUACGUUUAAAACUCAGACGAUCCAACUACUAGUAAGUAUCAUUUGCACCACUUCCUUAAACCAUAUCAAAAACAAAAUAGAACUCCCCAAAAGUUUCCUACUGAUGGCACACUCGCUCUAUUCGCCGCUAACUGAGGAACCUGAAAAGAUUAAAGGAGGAGUGGAAUGAACAACAAUAGCUCAGUGAGUAGUACAUAUCUUCUAAGCAGAUUGAACUACCACUAUACAUGUAUACAAAGCAAUACCAAACUUCAUAACGCCAACUCAAUAUAUAAAAUACAUAUUGAAUCUUAUAUGAGUUAUUUCUUAUCAUCAAAGUUUUAUACUAAUAUGGAAAACUCAUUUAAAUCGCCAUCAAAAGUCAAGUAUCAAUGGUUGAAUCCAUUGAAUAAUCUCCAUCAAAAACACAUAUCAAUGGUCUAUCCAUUGAUCAAUCUUUUGCUCAAUAACUAACCAUGGUCACGACACAACGUCUUGUGACAAGGCGACCAAUAUUCUCCCAUUGGCAAGGUCUCCACCUACAAAACUGAUGGUUGGGCCUAGAAGGAUAUUCUAAACUUGGUAUGCAUACCCCAAAAACCCCUCACUGGGUUCACAAUUAUAUUGAGCAUAAAUAACCAUUCUCCAAUACUAGAAAUCAAAUCCAGAAAUCGAUAUCUUAAACCAAAUAAAUAACAUUUUGCAACAUAGCCCAUCAUCCAUUUCAUAUCCGUUUCUCAAAUCAUCAUAAACAUUUUCAUAAAUUAGUCACAAAGCAAUUUCAUAUAUGUUUCUCCAGAAACCUUGUAUAACAUGCUUUUCAAACAUUCACAAUCAACCAAAGAGUAGCAAUUGUUCGAUAUGGCUUUUUAUGUAAUAAAAAUGCUCUUCUUGAUUCAAUAUAUAUACAUACAUACUUCAAGACACGAUUUUAUAAUACCAAAGAAGAUAUAAUACCACUCACCUCGUCGUCUACGACCAAACGACAAACGAUACUUGUAUCGUCGAACUCAUGGCCCUAUCAAAUAACUGAAGAAUAAUGUUAAAAUAUAAUAAAAUUCUAUCUCGACUACAAAAUGACUAAAUUAUGCCUUAACUCUAACAAAAGGACUUCUACGCGCUAACAAAUCGCAUAACCAAAGCGAUUGUUCAAGCCAUUCGCAACACGGAGUUUAAGCACAAAACUUGAUCGCGCCUUAACUUUCUCCUUCGAAUCCUAAUCCGAACAUAUUUAUAGUGAAUAGAGAGCCCUUGACACAUAUUACAAGAAUCCCAACUUGACUGUCCCAAAAUCAAGCCGAAAAAUGACAAAAUAUGGGCCCGAAGCUGCUGGAUGCGUACUGUUCACUCGCGCGGGAAACUUUGAAAUUUUGUUUCGGACAAACCAUAAGCUCAAUCACGAUCCAUAAAAUCCCAUGGCUCCACAACACUCUAAACUUCAAUUCCUACAAAAAUACACGGCUUAGCGACUCCAAAAUUAGACUUCGCGCUCGAUUUUCCAAAAAUUGAAUUUGAGCCCUAAAUCCAAAAAUUACUUCAAUUGGACGAACGAGGGGCCUAAUCUCUUACCAGGUGCUGCGUUAUGGAGUCGAGUUGGCUUGGCGAGGCGUCUGAGGCGUGCACGUGCCAAAACCCCUUUCCUUCCUUCCCCUUUCUUUUCUUCUUCUUCUUCUUCUUCUUCUUCUUCUUCUUUUCUUUAUGGUCGAGGGCCCUCGAGGGCCCUCAGCUUCUAUUUAACCAAACCCUCUCCCCUCUCCUUUUUGCUUUAUCGGCUUUUUAGCUUCUUUUUCUAUUUCUUCUCUUGGGGCCCACUAACAUAAUAUUACACAUGGGAUGGGGGUACUAACACAUCUAAUAGGGAUGGGAUUAGUUGGGCACGCAAAAAGUCCUAGAAAUCCAUUGCUACAACAAAAGAAUUCGAGGAAUUUGAAACAAGUGACUUUUCCUUUGUCUAGCUUGAAGAGAGAUUCUUCUAUGCCUCAUGAAUGUGACAUUCCUAUUCAUCAAAAUCAAUCACCACAUGUUGAUUAUUGUAAAUUGCCUUAUUUUCUUUUAAAAUUAAAAAAAAAUUGCAUAGACAAUGACUAGAUUGAUUGGUCAGAUCAUCGUUAAAUUGCUUCCUCAAUAGGUGCAUUGAUUGUUGAUCCUAAACUAAACUUAAGAGCUUACACUUCUUUGUGCACACAAAGUUUCAAUCUCUUAUGAACUUGAUAAUAAUGGUCAUAGAACUAUAAAGUUUUUUUUUUAAUUGAGAGGUGUUGAAAAUAAUAGUCACCAACAACAGUAGGCACAUCAAAAGAAGUCUCUAUGGGAAGGUUACACCAUUGUUCCAAAUUCUAAUCUUGAUUAAUGAUGUGACAUCUUCAUUGGGUCUUGAAGUGUCUGUUUAAUUCUCUUUGCUCCAUAGCUAGCAUAUACUAAUUCAAUUUGGAUCAACCGGUUUUACGACUAGAGUGCAAAACGGAAAGAUGAAAUAUAGAUGCCCCUCGGAGAUACCCUAAUUAUAAAUUUCCAAUCAUAACAUUAGGCAAGAUAAAAAUUUGCCAAAUUGAUUGUGACAACCUCUAUAGGGAAUAGAUAAAAAUGCCCUAAUUGUGCACACGACAAAAUGAUUGCCCCCAUCACUAGACAUGGACGGCCCAAUGUUUUACAAUAUUUUACCAGCUAAUUUCCAGCAAGACAAACGGCUCAAACGUAAUUCAUUGUGCAGAAGCUCCCCGAGAUAAAGGGAUCACUUGAUUUUUUCUGGUCCGUUCUCAAAGCAGAUCUGUUCCAGACAAUCAAUUGAAUAUCCACGUAAUUAAGUGAAAUAGUGGCUUUUGUCUCAAUUUUACUGGUUUUCCUAAAUUAUCCAUAUAUGAAAUAUUAAAGAGUAAAAAAAAGAUAUAAAUUACAUUUUUGAUAAUAUCCCACCUUCAUUUGGUUCCUCCCGUAACUAUCCAUUUGCACCUACUCUUAUAUUGACUGACAAGAAAGUUAUGUUGUACCAAAAAGCACCAUCUCUUUAACCCACUGUCUGCACCUUUGACAGUCACAUGGAAUUCUCUUCUAUGAUCUCCGCUUCUUAUCAUCAUUCUCUUAUUAUUUUUAACGACGAAAUUCACUCUAUGACUGAAAUUUUAUCAACUUACAAAUAUUACUCAUGUAUAUUACAAAAUUCAAAUUAAAAUAAGCAUCACGAUUAUUAAGCCCGCGCACGCACGGUGCGUACAAACAAUCACCCAAUUCCAUGCACAUACAUAGCUCCUUUUUAAGCCAAAGAGAAGAGAGAAUCACUUGCAUCUUGAUUGAGUUGUUGUUACGAUACACGGACGCGUAAGCUCUAUGCUUUUCUCGUUAUGAAGGUUGAACUUCCUUAAAAGAUUACAUUAUCAUCUUCUGGUUUAGGUACUUAUUAUUGCCCUAUUGGUGAAUUAGCUGAUGCUUUUCUCCGCGUCGUCAGGAUAUAAUAUGCACAUAUUAACGUCAUGACAGGGACAACUGAUUUGUCUCCAAUCCGGCGACUUCCAUAUCGCUGAACUUGGACGUGAACUUUGGCACCCUUACAGUAGUUGUUGGAAUAGUCUAAUGACAAGAACCUGGAUUGGUCCGAAUUGAUUGAUUUGGCUUCUCUAGGAGCCAGCCCUUGAAUUAAAGUCUAUCAACCCCAGGCGUAGACUUAUAUUAGUCGAUCCAAGCUGAAAUUGAAGUGUCCCGUUCAUAGAUUGCAUUAGCAUGUCGGGACUCCAACAGCCGGCGAUUAGCUGGAUUCCUAAGAAAGAUCCAGCAGCAUAUUGUGACUGGUUGAUAAUGGCUCAAGGAAUUUCCAAACAAAAGCAAAGCAUAUGAUGGGCCAUUUGUCUCUUGGGGAUUGGACAUUGCUGAUUUUUUUUUUCUAAGAUCUUUAUGUUGGAGAUUUCGAAGUCGUUAAUUUUCAGAAUAUGUGUUUAGCAUUUCUUAAUUCAACUUUUCAAAUAAGCUAAAAGUCAUUUUGAGACCUUUGUAUUUCCAAACUAUUUUUUGAGAUCCAAGUUUAGCGCACAUCGAAUUAUCCAUAUCUAUAGACCUUGAUCCUUGUGCCAAGAACCAAGGAGAGUGGCGUAUUAGCUGUGGACUAGGAUCCUUAUGUGGAUGAUCCAGGGUCAAUUUACACAUCCAUGUAUUGGAAUCUCUAGGCUCCCGAGAUUAUAUAUGAGGCACUAAGUAGGACACCGAGGUCUCGUCUUGCCUUGUUGUCUAGUGGCGUGUGUUGGGGUCUCAGGUUCAAGGCACUGACGUUCUUAAUCCAAGAGGUCUUGAGACUAAGCAUUGAAGUCUCGAAUUUGAUCCAUAAGGGCGUGUUUGGUAACGUUUCUGUUGCCCGGAACAAUUUCUAAGCAUUUUAAGCUGUUUGGUAACUGUCCAAAAUUUCAAUUCUCAGAAUAGAAUUGCGUUUAGUAUAGUGCUCAAAAUUUCUACUCCAAAUCAUUUUCUUUUAAUUUUAAAUUUUUUUAAAUUUUUUUUCCUUUUUUCUUCUUUUCUUUUUUCCCUUUCUUUCUCAUAUUCUUCUUCUUCAAGUGGCCAAUUGUCAACAGGUUGGUCGGCGACUGGCUAGACGAGAGUUGGCAACCUCACCGGAGCGUUGCCAACCCUUGGCGAGGACGGCCAUUGUCGGCCGAGCCUCGCUGGCAGCUGGGCAAGGCUCGGCCGAGCCUCAGCGGGGCUGGGGGAGGCCUGCUUGGCCACCGACGAGGCUCGCCCAGCCCCUUCGAGCCUCAUCGAACUAGUUGCUGGUGAUUGGCGACGGUGGGCGGCGGAUGGCGAACGGCAACCACGACGGUGGCAGUAGAUGAAGAAGAAGAAAAGGGAAGAAGAACAAGAAAAAAGAAAAAAAAAAGAGAAAUUGAUUUUAGAAUUGUUCCCAAGAACAAUAAUCAACCUUUUUUAUUUUUAUUUUUAUUUAUUCUUGAUUCUGUUCCAAAUCUACUUUUGGGAACAAAAAAAUAGAAAUUUGUUUCCGAGAAUAAAAUUUUUACUAAACACGAUUCUAUUCCAAAAUUGCUCAUGGGAACAAAAGAAUAGAAAUUUUUACUAUUUGGCCAGUUAGGGUCUGUUUGGUAACCAUCCCAACAGUGCCAAAUUCUGAUUCUUUGUUCCCGGAAUCAGUUUCGGCCUAGAAUCGCGUUUGGUAAAUUUUUUGUUCCCGGGAACAGAUUGGGAAUAGAAUCAAGAAUAAAAAAAAAGUUUNNNNNNNNNNNNNNNNNNNNNNNNNNNNNNNNNNNNNNNNNNNNNNNNNNNNNNNNNNNNNNNNNNNNNNNNNNNNNNNNNNNNNNNNNNNNNNNNNNNNUCUUCAAGUGGCCAAUUGUCAACAGGUUGGUCGGUGACUGGCUAGACGAGAGUUGGCAACCUCACCGGAGCGUUGCCAACCCUUGGCGAGGACGGCCAUCGUUGGCCGAGCCUCGCUGGCAGCUGGGCAAGGCUCGGCCAAGCCUCAGCGGGGUUGGGGGAGGCCCGCUUGGCCACCGACGAGGCUCGCCUAGCCCUUUUGAGCCUCACUGAACUAGUUGCUAGUGAUUGGUGAUGGUGGGCGGCGGAUGGCGAACGGCAACCACGGCGGUGGCAGUAGAUGAAGAAGAAGAAAAGGGAAGAAGAACAAGAAAAUAAAAAGAGAAAUUGAUUUUAGAAUUGUUCCCAAGAACAAGAAUCAACCUUUUUUAUUUUUAUUUUUUUAUUCUUGAUUCUGUUCCAAAUCUACUUUCGGGAACAAAAACAUAGAAAUUUAUUUCUGAGAACAAAAUUUUUACUAAACACGAUUCUAUUCCAAAAUUGCUCAUGGGAACAAAAGAAUAUAAAUCGUUACCAAACGCGCCAUUAGCAAACAUGACCUAAGCAAGCACCCAAAGGUCAUGGGUCUGGGCAACUGGGACCUAAGUCCAACCACAAGGUUCUAUGUUUGGUAGCCAAAGUCUCAUCUCUUCAUGGAUUCAACGGUUUGAGUUUUGAGUUAAGAUGCUGAAGGCUUGGUUCAACCCUAGGUGCUAGGGACGGCGCUCAUUGUUCCCAAGUUGAUGACAUGGGAUGCAUGUUUUUAAAUAUUAUGAUUUUUAUUUAUUCUCUUGUCUUUCUUUAUUUUAGAAAUUAUUUUAGGAUACUGGAUGAUUUGUUUCAAUAGUUAUCAUUUACAUAUUUAAGAUAUCGUGGGAUAGAAUUUCUUAUUAGUUUACAUAUUUCCUAUUAUGAAAUUAGAAUUUCCUAAGUGUUUUAGAUAUAAAUAUGCAUUGUGUUUUUCUUGUAAUUUGGCUUAUUUAUUGAUGAAUAAAGGAAAAUUUUCAAAUGAGGGCAUAUGGUGCUCUCAUUUUCUCAAAUAAGUGCCCGAAGUAGCCGUUAUUUUAAAUAAGGGCUAGAAAAAAAAUGAAUUGACCAAAUUCUCUCGAAUAAGGACUUUUGGCUAGCCAUUGACUAUUCUGUCAUUGGAGAAAGGGUAUUUUAGUAAAAAAAAAAUUCUAAGUAUAUAUUUUUUAUUUUUCUCUCCUUGCCAUGCCUCAAGUGAGGGUUGCCUUUGCUGGCGUUGGGUGAGGGUGAAGGUUGCCCUUGUUAGCCCAAGUGAGGCGAUCCUUGCCCAAUGCUGGGGAGGAGGAGCCGUUGCUUGAGUCCAGCAACUUGAUGGAAAAUGGGGAAAAAAGAAAAAGAAAAUAACAAAAAAAAGAAAAAAAAAAAGGAAUUUUUGUAAAGAUGAAAAUGCCUUUCAAUCAGCAAGGUUAGCCUCUUCUUUGAGACCAAUAUGGCUACUUUAGGUAUUUAUAUGAAACAAUUUCACUUCAAGCUCUUAUUUGAGAAAAUUAUAGCACUUCAAGCCCUUAUUUAAAAUAAAGUCUACUUUAGGCCAUUAUAUGAGAGAAAAAAAAAAAGGAACACUUUAAGCCCUUAUUUGGAAUUUUCCCAUGAUUUAAUGGAAAAAUAGUGAGGUUUUCUUUGUAGCAUUUCGUGUAUGUGCAUCAAAAUGCAUAUCAUGAGUGUUUACUUGUGUUAAGGAAUUCCCAUAUAUGCUAUCACUCAUUUAGGUUAUGUUGGGCUAUCAUAGGUGUUGUCUAGGCAUCACUUGUCUAGCAGUAGUGCUUGUUCAACACUUGUUGCUCCAUAGCUUGCAUAUAAACUAAUUCGAUUUGGAUCACCAUUGGGUUUUUAUUUCUUAACCAUACCAAUUUGCUUCUUAAAUUCACCAAUUUAUCGAAAGGUUGAAAAAAUAAAAUCCAUGCCUAAUAAUUAGGGAAAAUAAAAGUUUAAUAUCAUCUCUGGUAGGAGCUGGAUUUAUAGUGCCACUAGUGAGCAAUUUCACCCAAAAGAACAUGUUUAAUUGAGAAACCUUGAACCGACACAAACAAGGAAAGGAUUACCCACAAAGGGCAAGACAGAAAAGGUGAAAUAUAGACUCCACCUUAAAAAAAAAAACCCAAUUAUAGAUUCACCAUCAUAGCAUCCAGCCAAAAGAUGGAAAAAGGAAGGAACCCCAUCGAUUGCGACAAUCACCAUCGGAAAAUAGAUAAGCUUCGCACAACUUGUGCACUCCACAAAAUGAUUGCGCCCAUCACAAGUUAUGGAGCGCCCCAAUGUCAACAUCUUUAGGGCUAGAACGGCUUAAUUGAUAAGAAAUCAUCUUGAUUAUCAUCAAGACAACGUUGGCCUAAGAAAUCGAGUCUGAUUGGGAUUUGGAAAAAAAAUGCAUAUAUUCGCGUCGAUAAUGAAAUUUUACGCGCGUGGGUAACAUUUUCAAUGGUGGGAUUGGUGUAGGUCUGCGCAUCCAGAAAUGAUUGUCACGACAAUGAGUCUUUAUCUUGAUAUUGAUUAAGUUUAACGAGUUUUUAUAAAGAGUCAAAUGAUUUUUUUUUUUUUUAAAGCAAAGGAUUAAUCAUUAUUUGAUGCCUAGGGGGCCGGCAAACACAGAGAACGAGGAGACAUCGCCAUAGAAAAAGUUGGUACCUUGAUUUGAUGGAUUUUUUCAUACUACGCACAUCAACCGUUCACGUACUCCAAAGGCGGGGCCUCUCAUGCUCCGAGUCAUGAAAUACCCACAAGAAUUUAUUUGCUUUGUCACUAUAUUAUUUAUCACCUAUGUAUGUAUUUAUGCAUCAACAUAGGUGAAAAUCAUCAUAUAUAAACCGAACCACUAUGAGUCAAAUCAUUUCAUACAUAUAUAUAUAUAUAUAUAUAUAUAUAUAUAUAUAUAUAAAGUAUGUUUGUUUUGUGAUUUUUGUUCUAUUAAGUUAAUGUAACAUGUACAAAAGGCGAUCGUCCGACGAGUUUGAGAUUUUACAAAACACAAGCUAAAUUGUUCCCUCUAGUCAAUUUCAAAAGAGUUGGAAUAUUGCAAACUUAACGAAUUUUUAUUUUCUUCGAAAAACAGAACACCAUUUGUCCGCACAACAAGAGGAGACAUUACCAAAUUUUGUGGACAUGCUUUGUCCGAGACCCAGCCCAUGUCCAGCAGCCCAGAUUGUGAUGGGUCCAGCCUGGACAGGCCCAUGGGGUGGCUGAUGGGCCUUGUCAAACACUAUUCAGUUGCUCUCCUAAGCUACAUAAACGAUCAACGAUAAAAUUCAAUGUCACAGGACAAGUUUCUGUCGGGCACAAUGCAAAUAAUGAGGUCCUAGAAUUAUAUAAUUGCUUUUGAGAUGCGAAGUUCUCAUUUAUCUAAAUCAAUCGUAGCAUGGCAAGUGUUACCAACUUCCUUAUCUUCUUUCAAGAUUAAUAAUAGUAUUUUUCCACAUGAUGAUCCACUUGGAUGGAUUGAAAUGUCAUACUUUGAGAGCACAUAAUUUUUUUUUUAGUAGAUAGAUAUUUUAUUCCUUCUCCUGUUUGCAUUCUAAUAUAAAAAUAUGAAUGCCGCUACCCAAUAUGCUUUCCACUUAAUGAUUGGAGCGUUGAUCUUGUUGUAAAUGCUAGAUCAUCAACUAGGCCGUCUUAAUAAAGAUUAGUUGAAGUUUGCUAUACUUAAGCUCUUUGUGAGGUGCCCAAAACGAGCUCCAAAUUGCAUAAAGACCUUCGACACGAGCCUGUAAUUUGAAGAGACAGUCGACGUGACCCCAAGUUUUGUAUAUUUGUAAUCUUAACGCAUGUAUGUUGUGGACCUACUUGGUCACAUCCCAUAUGCUUGGGUUCUGUCAUGUUCAAUUGGAUGUCACCAUAUCCAAGUUUGUCAUAGCUGUCGACCUAGACUAGGUAAGAACCACAUCAAUUUGCUUCAGUCGGUCGUGAGUAAAUUAUGAGCUGGGAUAAAUGCAAGUGAAUCUCAAGUGAUGCACUGGAGAAAAUAUUUGGAAAUGCCAUCGAACCUCACCUUUUGUCACUUCUAAGUAGUUAUUGAAUGAUCGGGAACGCCUUCUGUCACACCCGAAAACUACAAGAAUGGGGGAUGACACAGCCGUCUAUCCACACGAGGGACGUAGCCUCAAACACAACCAAUAAACUGAUAUCAACUUUUAUAUAUAUAUAUAUAUCUCAAUUAUAUAUAUACAUAUCAGCUAAAUCAAUAAAUUGGUUGCAACAUCAAAGUUUCUAUAAUCCACCAGAAAAGAUAUACGUUUAAAACUUAGACAAUACAACCACUAGCAAGGAUCAUAUGCACCACUUCCUUAAACCAUACCAAAGAAAAUAAAAAUAGGACUCCCUAAAAGUUUCCUACCAACGGCCCUCUCGCUCUAUACGCUGCUAACCGAGGAACUUGAAAAGAUUAAAGGAGGAGUGGGAUGAGCAACAACAGCUCAGUGAGUAGUACAUAUCUUCUAAGCAGAUCGAACAACCAUUAUGCAUGUAUAUAAAGUAAUACCAAACUUCAUAACGCCAACUCAAUAGAUAAAAUACAUAGCAAAUCUUAUAAGAGUUAUUUCUUAUCAUCAAAGCUUAAUAAUAAUAAUAUGGAAAACUCAUUUAAAUUGCCAUCAAAAGUCAAGUAUCAAUAGUUGAAUCCAUUGAAUAAUCUCCAUCAAAAACACAUAUCAAUGGUCUAUCCAUUCAUUCAUCUCAUAUCAAACACACAUCGAUGGUCUAUCCAUCGACCAAUCUUUUGUUCAAUAACUAACUAUGGUCAUGACACAACGCCUUGUGACAAGGCGAUCAAGAUUUCCCCUUGGCAAGGUCUCUACCUACAAAGUCGAUGGCUGGGCCCAGAAAGAUAUCCCAAACCUAGUAUGCAUACCCCAAAAAGCCCUCACUGGGUUCACAGUCAUAUUGAGCAUAAAUAACCAUUCUCCAAUACUAGAAAAUCAAAUUCAGAAAUCAAUAUCUUAAACCAAAAAAAUAACAUUUGCGGCAUAGCCCAUCAUCCAUUUUAUAUCCAUUUCUCAAAUCAUCAUAAACCUUUUCAUGAAUCAAUCACAAAGCAAUUUCAUAGAUAUUUCUCCACUUACUUUGUAUAAUACACUUUUCAAACAUCCACAAUCAACCAAUGAGUAGCAAUUGCUUGACCUGGCUUUUAUGCAAUAAAAAUGCUCUUCUCAAUUCAAUAUAUAUACAUAUAUAUAUAUAUAUAUAUAUAUAUAUAUAUAUAUAUAUAUAUAUAUAUACUUCAAGACAUGAUUUUUACAAAACCAAAGAAGAUAUAGUACCACUCACCUCGUCCUCUACGACCAAAUGACGAACGAUACUUGUGUCGUCGAACUCAAUGCCCUAUCAAAUAACCAAGAAAAAUGUUAAAAUCUAAUAAAACUCUAUCUCAACUACGAAACAACUAAAUUACGCCUUAACUCUAACAAAAGGAUUUCUACUCGCUAACAAUUUGCAUAACCAAAACUAUUGUUCAAGCCAUUUGUGACGCGGAGUUUAAGCGCAAAACUUAGUUACGCAAUAACUUUCUCCUUCGAACCCCGUUCCGAACGUACUUAUGGUCAAUAAAGAGCCCUUGACACAUAUUACAAGAAUCCCAACUUGACUGUCCCAAAAUCAAGCAAAAAGAUGACAAAAUACGGGCCCAAAGCUGCUGGACGCGUACUAUUCAUUGCGCGCGAGAAACUUUGAAAUUUUGUUUUGGAAAAACUUAUAAGCUCAAAUCAUGAUCCAUAAAAUCCCACGGCUCCACAACCCCUAAACUACCAUUCCUACAAAAAUACACGGCCUAACGACUCCAAAAUCGGACUUCGCUGCUCAAUUUUCCAAAAAUUCCGAAUUUGAACCCUAAACCUAUAAACUGCUUCAAUUGGACGAAUGGGGGGCCUGAUCUCUUACCGGGUGCUGCAUUAUGGGGUCGAGUUGGCUUGGUGAGACAUCUGAGGCGUGCAUGUGCCAAAACUCCUUUCCUUUCUCCUUCUUCUUCUUUUUUUUUUUUUUUUUGGUUGAGGACCCCUCAGCUUCUAUUUAACCGAGCCCUAACUUUUCAACUUCUUUUUAUAUUUUUUCUUUUGGGGCCCAGUAGCCAAAUAUUACAUUCUACCUUCCUAAAAAAAAAAUUCGUCCUCGAAAUUUACAUGUACUUCAAUCAUAAAACAAGUGAGGGUAUUUGUGUCAUGCCUCCUCCUCAAGUUCCCAAGUAGCCUCUCUCUCGGUGUGGUUUUGCCAUUGUAUUUUCACAUAAGGAAUAGUUCGUCGCCGCAACACCUGAUCCUUCUUAUCGACAAUGCAAAUAUGUUGUUCCUCAUAUGUCAAGUUCUCCCGUAAUCUCAAUGGAGUAAAGUCUAGCACAUGUUCAGGAUUUGCACAUAUUUCCGCAACAAAGAGACAUGGAACACAUUAUGGACACCUGAUAGUGCCGGUGGCAAAGCUAAUUUAUAAGCGACUUCACCAAUUUUCUCUAAGAUCAAGAAUGGUCCCAUGUACCUUGGACUUAACUUCCCACGUGUGUCAAAUCUCGUUACACCCUUCGUAGGAGAAACUUUUAAGAACAUGUGAUCCCCCACAUUAAAUUCUAACUUGUGUCUUUUUAGAUCAGCAUAACUUUUCUGACGAUUUUGAGCCGUUCUGAGACGUUCUCGAACCAACCUAACUUUCUCUUCUGACUGCUGGAUGAACUCAGAGCCAGUUAGUCUUUUCUCACCAACGUCAUCCCAAAAAAUAGGACUUCUACAUUUUCGCGCCAUCUUAAUACUGGAGUGAUAAUUGUUGUUAUAAGAAAAUUCUGCCAAAUAUAGAUGUUCAUCCCAAGAACCGCCAAAGUCAAUGAUGCAUGAUCUCAACAUAUCCUCUAAUGUCUGGAUCGUUCUCUCUGAUUGUUCAUCUGUUUGUGGAUGAAAAGCUAUACUUAAGUUGAGUUUAGUGCCCAAUGUUGCUUGCAAACUCUUCCAAAAGUUAGACACGAACCUAGGAUCCCUAUCAGAAACAAUGCUUACAGGAACUCCAUGAAGCUUCACUAUCUCAUUAACAUAUCGCCUUGCCAUAUCUUCCAUUGAAAGACCAAAUUGAUAUGACAAAAAGUGAGUGGACUUAGUUAAUCAAUCACUGUUCACCCAAAUAGAAUUCCUACCACUUGGCGUCCUCGGUAGACCAACUACAAAGUCCAUGGCAAUAUGCUCCCACUUCCAUUUAGGUAUCUUUAGAGGUUGCAACUAUCCACCUGGUUUAUGAUGUUCAAUUUUCACUGGCUGAUAAACUAAACAUUGAUCAACAAAUUUUAUAAUAUCAUUUUUCAUGUUGAUUCACCAAAAGUUUUUUCUCAAGUCCCUAUACAUUUUAGUGCUUCCCGGAUGAAUUGAAAAUCUAGUACUGUGAGCUUCUUGCAGGAUCUCCUUUUUUUAGCUUUGAGUCCUCAGGAACACAUAGUCGACCACGAAACAUCAAGGAUCCAUCUAUAUGUAAACUAAAUCUGCUUGUCUUCUAGCUUCCACAGCUUCUCUAAUUUUUUGUAAUUGUGGAUCUUCAUUCUGUUUAGCCUUAAUUAUGUUAAUCAACAUAGGUUGUACUUGAAGAUUAGCUAAUUGAGCACCAAGCUGCUGCACCAACACCUCUAAGUCUAACUUCCUCAUAUCUUCAAGAAUGGGUUUUUAAGAAGUGAGCAAAGCUACCAUAUUUCCAAAGGAUUUACGACUUAAAGCAUCCGCUACCACAUUAGCCUUACCCGGAUGGUAAUUAAUGGAUAAGUCAUUAUCCUUCAAAAGUUCUAACCAUCUUCUUUGCCUCAUGUUCAGUUCUUUCUGAGUAAAAAUAUACUUUAGACUCUUGUGAUCGGUAAAGGCUUCACAUUUUUCACCAUACAAAUGAUGCCACCAUAUCUUCAAGGCAAACACAACCGCCGCUAACUCCAAAUCAUGAGUGGGGUAGUUCUUCUCAUGUAAUUUCAAUUGUCUAGAAGCAUAGGUAACAACUUUGCUAUUUUGCAUAUGAACACAACCCAAACCUUCUUUGGAUGCGUCGCAAUAGAUUAUGAAGCCACCACUUCCAAAAGGUAGAGUUAGAAUAGGAGCCGACACCAGCCGUCUCUUCAACUCUUGAAAACUGCGUUCACAUUGGUCUGACCAUUCAAAUUUAACUUUCUUCUGGGUUAGACGGGUAAGUGGACUAGCAAUCUUUGAGAAUCCCUCUACAAAUCGCUUAUAGUAGCCGGCUAGCCCAAGAAAACUUCUCACUUCUAUAACAUUAGUUGGACGAUUCCACUUAACAACUACUUCAACCUUCUUUGGAUCCACUAAUAUGCCAUCCUUCGAGAUCACGUGACCCAAGAAUUCUAUAUGAUCAAGCCAAAAAUCACACUUACUAAAUUUGGCAUACAACUUCUUUUCAUGUAAAGUCUGCAAGACAAACCUCAAGUAUUGUUCGUGUUCCUCUAAACUCUUUGAAUACACUAGGAUGUCAUCAAUGAACACCAUAAUAAAUUUGUCUAGAUAUUCGUUGAACACUUUGUUCAUCAAGUCCAUGAAGGCAACAAGCGCAUUUGUUAAUCCAAAAGGCAUGACGAGAAAUUCAUAAUGGCCAUACCUUGUUCUAAAAGCAGUUUUAGGCACAUCAUCUAUUUUUAUCUUCAACUGAUGAUACCCAUAACGAAGGUCAAUCUUGGAAAAUACCUGAGCUCCCUGAAGUUGAUCAAAUAAAUCCUCAAUCUGAGGCAAAGGAUAUUUGUUUUUAACCGUUACCUUGUUAAGCUCUUGAUAAUCUAUGCAAAGCUACAUACUACCAUCCUUCUUUUUCACAAAUAGAACAGGAGCUCCCUAAGGCGAAACACUAGGUCUGAUGAAACCCUUAUCUAAAAGCUCUUCAGUUGCGUUUUCAAUUCUUUCAAUUUAGUGGGUGCCAUCCGAUAUGGUGCCUUAGAGAUUGGUGCUGUACCGGGCAUCAAUUCAAUACAAAACUCAAUUUCUCUAUCAAGAGGCAAUCCUGGUAAAUCCUCAGGAAACACACUUGGAAACUCUCUAACGACAGGAACAUCUUCCAACUUUACUACAACCUUAUGUGUGUCUUUUACACAAGCUAAAUAACCACAACAACCCUUUCUCAAAAGUUUCCUUGCUUGCAAAGCCGAGAUCAACCUUGGAGAAGUGUUUUGACAACUUCUCGAAAAAGAGAAUUCGGGUUGAUUCGAAAAUCUAAAUAUCACUUUUUUUGAAAAACAGUCAACAAUAGCACGAUAGGUAGAUCACCAAUCCAUUCCUAUAAUAACAUCGAAAUCUCGAAUAUUUAACUUUACUAGAUCCAGAGGCAUUUCAACAUUAUUAAUCUGAAUCACACAUCUCUUGAACACAUGAUGAACAACUAAGAAAUCGCCAGUAGGAGUAUCAACACACAAUUCACAUUCAAGAGGGUCAGGCAACACAUCAAGCUUCUUUGCAAAUUCAGUUGAAAUGAAGAAGUGCGUAGCACCAGGAUCAAAUAAGGCAUAAGCACAUUGUGAGGCAAUAGAAAUAUUACCUGCAACAAUUGCGUUAGAUGCUGCCGCAUCCUCCUUCGUCAUCGCAAAAAAUUUCUCACUUGUACUUUGUCUUUGUUGGUUCUCUUGGGGCCUACCAACGAAAGGGGUAUUCCUCCGCAUGGAACACUGGUGUGCUAGGUGGCCUUGUUGCCCACAUAGAUUACAUGAUCUAUUGCCAAUAGGAUGAUUCCUUUGUGUAGAACAAUCUCGCAGCAUGUGUCCCGCUUUCCCACAUGAGAAGCAUACUUCAGUUUUCCAAUGACACUCACUGCGAUGAUAACUUCCACAUGUAUUACAAGGGCCUUGGUUACUCGAAUUUCUGAACUAUCCUGGCUGGCUGAAACCUCUUCGCCUUCCACUACCAUCAGUAUGGCUACCUUGUACAUUUGUGGGCUUAAACCUUUUGGGUUGAGGCGCUCCUUGUGUGCCAUGCUUCAGAAUGCUUUGUUCCACCUUGAUUGUCCGUUCUAGCACAUCCUUAUAAGUUUUUAAUAUGAAAGGUGCAAGUGCAGAAUUAAUUUCAGGUCGGAGCCCUCCUAGGAAAUGGUCGUUCUUAUCUUCCUCAUUUGCUACCAAGUGCUAUGUAAAUGUACUCAACUGAUUAAAGCACCGUGGAGUCACCCUCAGAUAUAUGUACAAAGUCACCCUUCAUCUUUGCUUGGAAUGACUUUGGGAAGAAUUGAGCAUUGAACGCCUUUUUAAAGUCCUCCCAGGAUAUAAUAACAUCCCUACCUCCAAGACUUGGCUUCAUUCCAUCCCACCAAAACUCUACUUCACCUUCCAGGUAUUGGGUGGCAAAUUGAACUUUUCGAUCCACGGGAACCUCUUCAGCUUCAAAGAUCCCAUCAAUCUUUUUAAUCCAACGCUUAGUCGCAAGAGGAUCAGCUUUCCCAUCAAAAGUGGGUGGUUUUGCCUUUCUUAAAUGGCAAAAGUGCCUGAGCCAGUCACUCCAUCUCCAGUUAAUUCUUUUGCUUGUUGAUACCAAUGGAUCAUUGCUUGUUCAAAUUCAGUUGAACGGGUUGGCUCUUGAUCCUCUUCUUUGACUUCGCGCAAGUUAGGACUCCUAUUAUAGUGGUCCUCAAGUCUCCUUCUCAAAAACGCACCUCGAGAAGCUUGAGGCAUGUCUCUAGCCUCAGGGGUAGCGACUCGUUUGCCUUUGCGGCUCCUACGAAGCGAGGCAAGUGUCUCAAAGUUGGUACUCAUGAUCACCUGAAUCUAAUAAUGAAACUACACCUUAGAAUCUAGAAGACUAACGCAAAAAUAAAAUCUAUCACACAACCUCACAACAUCCCAUAACUACAUCCAAAAAGAUCAAAACUUAGGCUCUGAUACAAAAAAUGUCACACCCCAAAACUACAAAGAAUGAGGAUGACACGGCCAUCAUUCCACACGAAUGACGCGACCUCAAACACAACCAACAAACUGAUAUCAACUUAUAUAUAUCUCAAACCAUAUAUAUACAUAUAAGAUAAACCAACAAAUUGGUUGCAAUAUCAGAGUUUCUAUAAUCCACUAAAAAAAAUAUACGUUUAAAACUCAGACAAUACAACCACUAGUAAGGAUCAUGUGCACCACUUCUUUAAACCAUACCAAAGAAAAUAAAAAUAGAACUCCUCAAAAGUUUCCCACCAACGGCCCUCUCGCUCUAUUCGCCGCUAACCGAGGAACUUGAAAAGAUUAAAGGAGGAGUGGGAUGAGCAACAACAGCUCAGUGAGUAGUACAUCUCUUCUAAGCAGAUUGAACAACCAUUAUGCAUGUAUAUAAAGUAAUACCAAACUUCAUAAUGCCAACUCAAUAUAUAAAAUACAUAUCGAAUCUUAUAAGAGUUAUUUCUUAUCAUCAAAGCUUAAUAAUAAUAUGGAAAACUCAUUUAAAUCGCCAUCAAAAGUCAAGUAUCAAUGGUCAAAUCCAUUGAAUAAUCUCCAUCAAAAACACAUAUCAAUGAUCUAUCCAUUCAUUCAUCUCAUAUCAAACACAUAUUGAUGGUCCAUCCAUCGACCAAUCUUUUGCUCAAUAACUAACCAUGGUCACAACACAACGCCUUGUGACAAGGCGACCGAGAUUUCCCCUUGGCAAGGUCUCCACCUACAAAGUCGAUGGCUGGGCCCAGAAGGAUAUCCCAAAUCUAGUAUGCAUACCCCAAAAAGCCCUCACUGGGUUCACAGUCAUAUUGAGCAUAAUAACCAUUCUCCAAUACCAGAAAAUCCAAUCAAGAAAUCAAUAUCUUAAACUAAACGAAUAACAUUUGCGGCAUAGCCCAUCAUCCAUUUCAUAUCAAUUUCUCAAAUCAUCAUAAACCCUUUCAUGAAUCAAUCGCAAAGUAAUUUCAUAUAUAUUUCUCCACUUACUUUGUAUAAUACACUUUUCAAACAUCCACAAUCAACCAAAGAGUAACAAUUGCUCAAUCUGGCUUUUAUGCAAUACAAAUGCUCUUCUCGAUUCAAUAUAUAUAUACUUCAAGACAUGAUUUUUACAAAACCAAAGAAGAUAUAGUACGACUCACAUUGUCGUCUACAACCAAACGACGAACGAUACUCGUAUCGUGGAAUUCAAGGCCCUAUCAAAUAACCAAGAAAAAUGUUAAAAUCUAAUAAAACUCUAUCUCAAUUACGAAACAACUAAAUUACGCCUUAACUCUAACAAAAAGACUUCUACGCGCUAACAAUUCGCAUAACCAAAACGAUUGUUCAAGCCAGUCGUGAUGCGGAGUUUAAGCGCAAAACUUAGUUACGCAAUAACUUCCUCCUCCAAACCCCAUUCUGAACGUACUUAUAGUCAAUAGAGAGCCCUUGACAAAUAUUACAAGAAUCCCAACUUGACCAUCCCAAAAUCAAGCUGAAAGAUGACAAAAUACGAGCCCAAAGUUGCUGGACGCGUACUGUUCACUGCGCGCAAGAAACUUUGAAAUUUUGUUUCGGACAAACCAUAUGCUCAAAUCACGAUCCGUAAAAUCCCACGGCUUCACAACACCCUGAACUACCAUUCCUACAAAAAUACACAGCUCAACGACUCCAAAAAUGGACUUUGCCGCUGGAUUUUCUAAAAGUUCCGAAUUUGAACCCUAAACCCAUAAACUACUUCAAUUGGAUGAACGAGGAGCCUAAUCUCUUACCGGGUGCUGUGUUAUGGGGUCGAGUUGGCUUGGUGAGGCGUUCAAGGUGUGCACGUGCUAAAACUCUUUUCCUUUCUUCCCCUUUCUCUUCUUUCUUUUCUUUCUGGUUGAGGACCCCUCAGCUUCUAUUUAACCGAGCCCUCUCCUCUCUUCUUUUUACUUUAUUGACUUUUCAACUUCUUUUUAUGUUUCUUCUUUUGGGGCCCACUAGCCAAAUAUUACACCUUCCCACCGAGUCAAGUCAAUGUCGCCCCUACCAUCUUCUACGUCUCGACGUGAGGAAGUUAUUGUUGCCCGAGUGACACAUGUAAUGACGCCUUGAGGCCCUCCAUCUUUUCCUUAUCACAACUUGUCCCGUUCUUGCACCGAUUCCUCACUCCUAGUGCGUCCCACUUUCACCAGAUUUCUGAGGAAGAAAGGAAAAUGUCGAGCUCUCAGUGUUUUGAGAACCCACCAAACCUGAGCUCCACUUGCGGAGCAGGACACGUUGAAGAGCUUGCAGGUCUCAAGACUUACGUCACCGGCCCUUCCGAUUCCAAGCGUGCUGUUCUUCUCAUCGCCGAUGUUUUCGGUACUGGCCCAUUUCUUUAAUUUUGAUUUUGUGGUGUUUCUCUCAGUUGGGUCUUUUCUUUUGGUCAAUUAUGUAUAUCUCCUUGGUUCUUUGUCGUUCUUGUGCUUUUCGAUUGGUCCAUGAUAUUGCUGCUUGAUUGAUGAUCUUUGCUCAUCUGUUUGUGCAGGGUAUGAGGCUCCUAAGCUGAGGUAUGGAAUCUUUCUCAAGUUGUUCUAUGUAUAUGUUGUUCUCUAGUGCCAUCUUUUGACGUUUCAUGGUGAAUAAACUCUGUAUUCUCCGGAUAGCAUACAUUUGAAAGCUUUGCUUUUCCGUUCACCUUUCACCUGUGAUGACGAAGAGCAUUAGAUGGCACUUGAGGGCGAAGCCAGUUCAUUCUGGAUGAGUGUGUUUGGCGUUCUUCUGUUCCAAGUUAAAACAUCAUUUGUUGAAUUGUAUAUACACGCGGGACUUCAUGGCAUAGUCCAGCUGACAUUUUAUAUACAUCGCUUGAUUCAAUAUGAAUCACAGUUUUCUUUGUUCUAAUGAUUUCUGCUACUAAUAUGACUCAGCUGGUCAUGUAAUUCGGUUUCAUCUUGAGAUAGAGUUAUCCUUAGUUGCAACACCAAAAUCACAUAAGCUGGGGUUGCCUUCUUGACAGUCCCGGCAUAAUUCUAUGUUUUAACAAGAUUGAGAAUGAUAAGAGUUACCUUUUCAAAUUGUCAUACUUAUUUGCGGAAUGCUUUCGUUGUGUAGGAAACUCGCAGAUAAAAUUGCAUCCGCGGGAUUCUUGGUGGCUGUACCUGAUUUCUUUUACGGAGAUCCCAUUAUUGAUUUCACUAGUCCUAAUUUCAAUUUUGAAGCUUGGUUUAAGAAUCACGGCACGGUGAGUUUUUCACUCCUUCAGGCUGUGAAAGUGUGACAGUACAUUUAGAAGUUCAGAGGAAACAAGGGGCUUUCUACUGUGCAAACUUGAUUUGUAGACUCGAAUCACACGGUGUAAGUUGCAUUGGUAUUUAGACCUGGUUGGAGAUUGCUGGUCAUUUCAAAGAUUUUCGACGCCCAGCAAGAUCUUUAUUAUAUAAAAUUCCAAAUGCAAAACAUGAAACAGCAUAAGUAGAAUAAAAGCCUCAUGAAUUUUGAUGUUACCGACUUUUAGACAGUCUUUUUAUAAACGUUUACUUAAUUUGCUUCUUUAGGAUAAAGGGCAUGAAGAUGCCAAGCCAGUGAUUGCUGCUCUUAAGAGCAAAGGUGUGUCUACCAUUGGGGCUGCAGGAUUUUGUUGGGGAGGUAAAAUUUUCUGAAUUCACUUUCCCAGUUUUGAGGGGGUUGUUGGGUUAAGAAAUGGGAAAUUUGUUCUAGUUGGAAAUUGUGAUCCAUUUUCUCUAAAAAAAUCUAGAGCUACUAACUUAAUCAUUAAGGUGAGAACCUUCUAGAAUUGUUGAGAAUGGAGAUUGCUAGUUGAAUCUAGAAAAUUCACAUGGGAAUGCAAGCAAGCAACAGCCAAGCAUCAAAGAAAAUCCUAGAACAAGUAAGAGGAGUCUAGAGAAGUCCAUGCUUCAAGAGAAGUCUAGAAUUCUAGAAUGCUUCAAGAGAAGUUUAGAAUUCUCUAUCUUAUGUUAGUAGCUAUUUGUAGAGAAGUGUAGAGACUUCCUCCACCUACUUUGGCAGCCUAUAUAAAGGAGCAAGUGCUCCAUGUUUUGGUGAAAGGGAGCUAACCAUAAAAACCACAUCAUGCUCCCUCACCAACACUUCCUUCAACUAUUGUAAAAUUAUUUUAUCCAACUAAUGAAACUAUUUUUGUCCCAUAAACCUUCUCAAAAUAUCCCAUAUCCCAUGUUCUUUAUCCUUUAAUUAUCCUAAUUUAUCCCUUGUCCAUCCUCUACAAACUAUAUCAUACACUUGCACACAACAUCACUAAUAAAAAACUAUCAUCAAUACCAAAACCAUACUUCCGCGCAUAUUUAUAUUUUUAACAGUUCUACAUUGACCAUUGAGAAACUAGUUUUGUUGACUUGCAGAAAAGUUCUUUCAAGUUGUUAAAAAGAGCUUGCCUAUUCUUUUCAGGAGUGGUGCUGGUGAAAUUAGCAGGCACUGAAGACAUUCAAGCAGCAGUUAUUCUGCACCCCGGUCCUAUGACCGAAGAUGCAAUCAAAGGUAAAGCUAUGCCAAUAAACAUGGACUUGCUAUUUUCUUCUCAGCCGCAGCGAUAUAAUUUCUUCAUGAGGGUAUAAGACUUGGUACUUGGCACGGGAGCCUUUAUCGCCUAUUAUGAAAUGCUCAUGAACAAUUAAAUUAUAUGAAUUCUGAUGGGAGUCUGCAAUGCAGCCAAGAGUGACGAAGAAACUCGCUAUAACAUGUCCGGUCAAUCACAAAAAAUCGAUGGCACGACUUUUGUCUACUUGAGAAGUGUUCCUUAAACUGGAAGCCUUAAAAGACCUUAUUUUCUUCUGUUCUUUGUUCAGCUGUCAAGAUUCCAACUGCUAUAUUGGGAGCUGAGAUCGACCAUUCUUCCCCGCCGGAACAACUGAAAAAGUUUGGGGAGAUCAUGUCGGCUAAAACUGAAGUAAGCUUCUUAGGAUGCUUUUCGUUGGUUGCAAACCUAUUGUCAGAAAAUGCAAUCGUUUUUCCACGUUCCCAUCAUUUCGCUUGCAAAGCACUUUCCCUUCCUGGUUAUUUAUACACAUCGCUAAUUCAAAGACCCCGGUUUUGCAGUUUGAGAGCUAUGUGAAGAUAUUCCCUGGUGUUAGUCAUGGAUGGAGUGUGAGGUACGACGACGACAAUGAAUUGGUGGUCAAGAGCGCCGAAGAGGCCCAAGAAGACACUUUGAAUUGGUUCUUGAAGCAUGUCAAGUGAAGAGAACAGAAGGCAUUGAAGCAGAACAUUCUGACGGAAGCAGUAGAUGACAGUAUUGUGUGAGACGAACAGUUUGAGGACUAGUCAUCUAUUGUAAUAUCUGGCGAGGGAACAAUGUACUGUGCUGUUGAUACUUAGAGAAAUAAAGACAUUAGUUUCAUCGCUUAAACUUGGAAGAUUGAAAACGAAAUAUAUCGCCUAGAGUUGUAUCGUGGCGAUUUUCGUGGCGAUUUGGGUGCAUUUUCUAUUCGAAUUGAUCAGAGGUGUUCACUGUCCAUUAAAUGAGGACCACACAAUGGAAUAUGAAACAGCAUAUUCGUUUCCAAUCCCAAGGAUAUGUUAUUUGCAUGGUUACCACCAAGUCAUCAGCUAAAGUGGCUAGUAUCUAAUGUAAUCUCUAGACCACUUAAUUUUAAAUGCAUCCAUUAUAUUAUAAGUUAUAACUUGACAAGUAUGCGAGCAAUUAAGAUUUCAUUAAAAGAUACACGAUCUCAAAAUCGCAUGCCCCAAGAAAAAAAGAAGAAGAGAUGAAAGUAAGGAUAUGGAGAAAAAUAGUAUCCAAAAUAUAUGAGAAACCAACUAUUUGAACUUAUGACAAAAGCGAAGCGUUUGUUUUUGGUCAAGUCUAUAUGCUAGUAGGUCAAGAUUUUUCGAAACUAAGUCAGAUAGACAUGGAAAAAUUCGUCCUUCAUGUAUAUGGUAUAUAUUUUCGCAAUGUGCAUUUGUAUACUGACCAAAAAAUUUCAGCUUUUGGCCAGAUGGUGUUUUUUUGUGAGAGAACGCAUGUCUCCAUCGGGCUAAAUAUAUUAUGGUUUCGUCUUUGUUCGUUUCUCGUCUGUUUCUCACCGGCCCUCUUUCUUGUUUGACAUCAGCAGUGACGUUAAUACGAACCACGAGACCUUUGAUGACUAAUCUGAACCAUAAGAUUACACGGACACCUUUUUCAGACACUGUGAUAUUGUAUCGCGGAUAAGCCAAUGGUUUUCAGAAGGCAAAGCAUGAUUCCACUUAGCGACCAGUGAAUCACCGUAUCAUCUCUCGUCUCUUGGCUCUGUUCUUACCUCGGAAAGAAUAAAGAAACGAAGAAAAAGACCAUGAACAGUAAACAAUGAAAGAAAAGAGAAGAAAAGAUCAAAAUAUCUAUAAUUUUUUUCAAAACGACGUCGUUUUGAGUGGAGUUGUGCAUGUCAAUAUCACUAACCCUUGCCAUGUAAGAUGACAAGCAUUGAUUUGCACCUCUACAUCAGAAUUUCCUGACAUAAAUUAGUUGGAUAGACAAUAUUACAAAAUUGUUGAAAGGUUCAUGACUACACUAGCCGAAUUGGUCAGUUUAUUACAAAAUUGGAACUUGUACAAUUUGUUCACAGCUUUUGGGUAGUUUUUCCCAUCUUAAGUAAGUCGUAAUUCUAAUACAUGGACGCAUAAGCUCUAUGCUUUUCUUAUUAUGAAGGUUGAAUUCCAUUUGAAGGUUAGGUAAUCGUUUUCUGGUUUAGGUAUUUAUUUUUUGUCCUAUGGUGAAUUAGGUGAUGCUUUUUUCGCCUCGUUGGGACAGAGAAAACUGCUUUGUCUCCAAUCCGGCAACUUCCAUAUUGCUGAACCUGGACAUGAAUUUAGUAUCUGUAACACAAUUGUUGAAAUAACCUAAUGAAAAAACCUAGAUUGGUCGAAAUUGGUUGAUUUGGGUCAUCUAGGAACCGGCUUGUUGAAUUAAAGUCUAUCGAACCCAUUGGUUGAUCCAGGCUGAAAUUGGAUUAGUCCACUUAUCAAUUGCGUUAACAUGUCAGGGCUCAACAGCCGGCAAUUAUCUGGAUUUGUAAGAAAGAUCCAUGCAUAGCCGGUGAUGGGCCUUUCUCUCUGGGAAAUUGGACAUUGCUGAAAAAUGCUUUCAAAGAUCUUUCUAUUGGAGUUUUCGAAGUUCUCCAUAUCCACCAAAAAUGUUUAAUUUUUACUAGUUCAGAUUUUCAAAUGAGAUAAAAAAAAAAUCAUUUUGAGAUGUUUGCUUUCAAAAGUUUCUAAAAUAAGUUUCUAAAGAAAAAUACUCGAGUUUAGCGCACAUCAGACGAUCCCUUCCUCGAGACUGUGGAGUGGUUCCUCGGGUCCAAGAUUCGGGGACAAGGGGGUAGGUUUCCCAAGUUCAAGCACUGGAUUCUACGCACUCCCGAGGCUAAGUACGAGGCAUCGGAAGUAGGGGACCGAGGUCCCAUCUUGCUCUGUUACGUAGUGGCGAGUGUUGGGGUCCCUGGUUCAACGCACCAACGUCCCGAGUCCAGCUACUGAAGUUUCAGGACUAAGCAUGGUGGUCUUGAAUUUGACCCACAAGCACCCAAGAUAUUGGGUCCUAGCACUUGGUUCCUAAGUUCGACCCUAAGGUCCUAUGUUUCGCAGCUGAAGUUCCCUAUCUCCAUAGAUGAGGCGAUCGGGUUCUCGAAUUUAGAUGAUAAGGUCUUGGUUUAGCCUUAGGUCAAGGGCAUGGGGAUUGGGGUCCCAAGUUCAAGGUCGAUGACACGGGCGUGUAUUUUAAAUAUUAUAACUUUUUACUAAGUUCCUUGAUAUUUAACAUAUGCUAGGAUAGAAUUUCUUUGUAAUUUAAUUAGAAUUUCAUUAGUUCUUCAAAUAUGUUAAGUUUUCUUGUUAUAUAAAAUAUUGAGAGUUUUCCUCUGUUGCAUUCAUGUGUGUGCGCCAUCGUGUGUAGUGCGAGUGUUCACUUGUGUUGGCAAAUUGCCACUUGUGCAAUCACUCUUUUAUGUUACAUUAAACGGGUCCGGCAUUUGAGCACCGAUGUCUCAAAUUCAACCUUAAGAUGCAAAGCCCGGCCUGUCACACCCCAAAAACUACAAAGAAUGGGGAUGACACAAAGGUCCUUCUUUACAAAGGACGUAGCCUCAAACACAACCAGCAAACUGAUAUUAACUUAUAUAUAUAUCAGAUAAACCUUCAAAUUGGUUGCAACAUCAGAGUUCCUAUAUGUUGGAGAAAUCUUCCUGGAGUAUUUUGAAGCUGAUAAAACGUUUCCAUCAGUCUAGUCUGAAGAUUUGCAGACUCUACUAUUUAAAGUCUGAAGACCUCUGGACUGCCAGACUCAAGACUCAAAGUCUAUUCUCAUUGACAGUUUCUAAUCCGUCGAAGAAGGGCUAUCCAAGACUGGAUGUUUCGUUAAGGAUUUGACCUUAUCGACUGGAGAAGAUCGCUUGGCUAGAUAUGACAUAACGGAAUCCUUUAUUGACUCAAAGAUUGAGGAUCCGAUGAUUGGCGGAGUAUACUUGGAAGGUUCUACUUAUGGAAACCGAGAUCCUGAUUGUAUAGGCGAGCAGGAUUGAUGGGCUAUCGACAUGUUCCUUAAAUAGCUUGAAUGAUCUUCCUAAUUGAUUCUGUCAAACGGGAAGAUUGGAAGAAUUUAUUUGGUAAGUGCCGACGGGUAUGAUGGCAUAAAGGAGUAUAUAAGGAAGACGUUCCAGUUGUUCAAGUGUGUGUGCGAUAGAAGAAUUCCAAAGUCUGAAGCUCUUUGUUCUUAGUCAAUUCAUUUUCUGAGCAAAAUCUUGUAUGCAAAAGAGAGUCCAUAUUCUUGAGAAACCUUGAGGAAGUGUGCUAGAGUAUCUACACUGUGGAAUCAAGGGAAAGCCUUGCUGUAACAACUCUUUUGUUCAUAGUGAAAUCCAGCCGGUGGGCUGUCAAUGUGGAAGAGUGGACGUAGGCUUGGAAUAAGCCGAACCACUAUAAUUUCUGUAUUCAUUUUCUCUUCCCUACUCUCUGCUUUACUUUGAUCAUAAUUCGCUUUGUUAACGAAAGGAGAACUUCCUUUCUAUUGUCUGCUUAGUAUUGCUCUCUUAUCUCGAGAAAAUAUUUUUUACACCUAUUCACCCCCCUCUAGGUGCUUAUACUAGAUAUCUCAAUUGGUAUCAGAGCCUGUGUACUCACUUUGUUUGAAGUGUUUUACUUUAGAGUUAAAGAUCCAUGGCUAGUAUGUUAGCUCCAGGGCUAGUAGAAGGGCAAAGCAAUACCAGACCACCUUACUUUGAUGGAAAUGAAUACAACAUAUGGAAAAACAAGAUGAAGGCGUUCCUAAGAUCAAAGGAUCCUCUGGAAUGGGACGUUAUAGACAACGGAAUCAUUCCUAAAGCUGCACCUGUCUUAGAGAGAGGAAAAGAAACUGUUGAGUCUAGUGAAAUGACUUAGGAAGAGAUAACCAAGAGACAAGCUCUUGAUGCAAAAGUAAUUUAUUCUUUAUAUUGUGCUUUGUCACCUACUGAAUAUAACAGAUUAUCUUCUUGUGUUACAGUGAAAGAAGUUUGGGAUAGAUUACAUAUUACCUAUGAAGGAACCGAUCGAGUGAAAGAAACCAGAAUCAACAUUCUCCUCGGUCAAUACGAAACCUUCAAAAUGAAAUCAGGAGAAUCUAUAACUGAAAUUGUGAAUGGUCUUGAAAAUCAAGGUCAACCAAUUUCUGAUCCCAUGAAAGUAAACAAGCUACUGCGUGGACUCUCCAAGGAUUGGAAUCACAUAAAGACCUCAAUAAGGGAGACACAAAGAAUUAUGCCACUAUCUGUCGAUGAGUUAGUUGGGACUCUUCAGUCUUAUGAAGUGGAACGAAUCAAUGAAGACGAAGAUCCUAAAGGUAAGAAAUCCAUUGCAUUAAAAUCCAAUGAUGAUUAUGAUGUUACAGAUUCUGAAGACGAUAUGGAUGAUGAGGAGCUUGCUCUCAUGAUAAGAAGAUUCAGAAAGCUGUACAGAAAAGGAAGAAGAUUCAAUCCAAAGAAACAAAGUUUUCAAAAGUAACAGACUAAGUUUGUUGAGGAUGAUGAAUCAAAUAGAGAUGUAGUCUGCUUUGAAUGUAAGAAACAUGGACACAUCAGACCCAACUGUCCUCUUCUGAGGAAGAAGAAAGGAAAAACUAAAAAGUAUCGAAAUGCUCUUAAAACAGAAACCUGGAGUGAUACAGAAUGUGAAGAAAGUGAUGAUGAUUAUGCCAAUAUAUGUCUGGUGGCACAAUCGGAUUUAGAUUCAAAUUCCAAGACAGACUCAGAUUCAGACAGUGAAGUUGAGGUGAGUAACUCUAAAAUCCUUAUUAAAGUUUCUAAAUACAUUGAUGAGUUGUGUUUUAGUCUUAAGACUUCUCUUAAAAUGAUUUCCGAACUUAAAAAGGAAAAUUCUGCAUUAAAACAACAGGAAAAUGUUUUAAAAGAAAAGGUGAAAUGUUUAGACAUGAAUGUUUCUACUCUUAAAGAAAGAGAAGACAACCUUUCGAAAGAAAAUGUAUUUUUAAAAAAUGACAUAUCAAAUAUUUCCAAAAGAUUUUCAAUAGGAUUUGAGAAACUUGAGAAAAUUCUUUCAGCACAAAGACCUUAUUUCAAUAAAUCUGGUUUGGGAAUGACUGUGGAAACCAUUCCUUUAAUUGAUUUUCCUAAAGUGAAGGAAAGAAUUAAGCAAAGACCCAUAAGAGAUGCUUACAAAAAUCAUUUUAAAAAGGUCUUUGUAAAACCAAUAGGUCUCAAUGCUCUCAGAUGUUCAAAGUGCAAUAGUUCAGAUCAUUUUGAGAAAGAAUGUCCUAUGGUUUUGAAACCUGUUAAAAAAGUAUGGGCAAAAACUGCAUAUCAUACUAACACCAAUGGACCCAAUAAAAUAUAGGUACCAAAGAAAGUUUGAGUCUCUUUUUUAAAUGCAGGUCACUAUCAAGAAGAAGGUAAAAUGGUAUCUAGAUAGUAGAUGCUCAAGACAUAUGACAGGAGAUUCAAAUUGCUUCAUAAAGCUCAUUCAAGUAAAUGGUGGAAAAGUAUCAUUUGGAGGAAACAUCAAAGGAAGAAUUGUGGGAUUUGGAACUGUAAAUAUUGAAAACCUCACAAUCAGCAAUGUUUCCUUAGUGGAAGGACUCAACUACAAUCUGCUCAGUAUCAGUCAGUUGUGCGAUACCAGUUUCAAAAUCAACUUUCAAGAAAGAAUAUGUUCAGGAACUAGUAAAGAUUCCACUCAGUCAUCAUGGGUCGAAGACAUGGAAAUAUCUACCUCUUGGACGUGAAACCAGAUGAAUCGCAAUGUCUAAUCUUAAUUCAAGACGAAGCGAACUUAUGGCACAGAAAACUUGGGCACAUCAAUAUGAAGCAAAUAGCCAAAAUUUCAGCAAAGAAGCUAGUUCGUGAUCUACCCAAUCUGUCAUACCAAAAGUCUGAUCUAUGUACACCAUGUGUAUUGGGAAAGCAGGUAAGAAAUUCAUUUAAACCAAUAAAUCAAGUUUCCACUAAUUGUGUACUGCAGCUUCUACAUAUGGAUCUCUUUGGAUCAACCAGAACUCAGAGCAUUAGAGGUAAAAAAUAUUGCCUAGUAAUUGUGGAUGACUACUCACAAUUUACUUGGGUAUAUUUCCUGACAAGUAAGUCUGAAACAUUUAUUUACUUUGAAAAGUUUGCUAAAAAGAUUCAAAAUGAAAAAUGGUAUGAUAUUUCAAGUAUAAGAAUAGACCAUGGAGGUGAAUUUGAAAAUCAAUAUUUUACAAAAUUCUGUGAUGAAUCUGGUUUUCAGCAUGUGUUCUCCUCUCCAUAUACUCUAGAGCAAAACGGAGUUGUGGAAAGAAAGAAUAGGCCGCUUCAAGAAAUGGCUAGAACUCUUUUAAUUGAAAGUAACAUCUCUUCACGUUUUUGGGCUGAAGCAGUUUCUACAGCAUGUUAUAUUAUUAAUAGAGUUUUUCUAAGACCUAUUAUGGAAAAAAAAAACCCUAUGAGUUAUUCAAAGGAAAAAAAGCCUAUUGUUUCAUAUUUUCAUGUGUUUGGAUGUAAAUGCUUUAUAUUGAAAAAUGCAAAUGAUCGAGUUGGCAAGUUUGAAGAAAAAUCAGACGAAGGCAUCUUCCUUGGAUAUCCUACCUCAAGCAAAGCCUACAGAGUCUACAACAAGAAGACUCAAUCUGUGGAGGAAUCAAUGAAUGUCAAAUUCCAAGAUUUUAUGCAAAAUGAAUCUAUUCAGACCCAUCUUGAAGAAUCUGAACCUGCUCCAGACUCUACAAAGUCUAAAUCUCAAGAAGCAGUUCAAACUUCGAAAGACUAGCAUCAAAUGAUUGUUGAAGAUUCAAAUGAAGAAAGUGAUAAUCAACCUGACAAAUCAACCAGUAACUGGAAGCAUAAGUCUAGUCAUCCCAAAGAUCUCAUUAUAGGCGAGAUUAAUGAAGGAAUUCGCACAAGAUCCAAAAUGCGCGAAGAGUCUAGUGGUGUACCUCUUAUUUCUGAAAUAGAACCCAAAAGCAUAAAAGAAGCUUUAUCUGAUGAAAGCUGGAUUGAAGCCAUGCAAGAAGAACUCAGGCAAUUCAGUAUUAAUGAUGUCUGGGAAUUGACUCCUAAACUGAAAGAUAAAUAUAUUAUUGGAGCUAAAUGGGUUUUCAGGAACAAGAUGGACGAGAAAGGAAAGGUCGUAAGAAACAAAGCAAAACUCGUGGCCAAGGAAUAUACGCAAGAAGAAGGGAUAGACUAUGAUGAGACUUACGCACCAGUAGCGAGGUUAGAAGCAAUUAGAAUAUUACUUGCUUUUGCUUGUUAUAAGUUAGCUGUGGACUAGGAUCCUUAUGUGAAUGAUCCAGGGUCAAUUUACAACAUCCAUGUAUUGGAAUCUCUAAGCUCCCGAGAUUAUAUAUGAGGCACUAAGUAGGACACCGAGGUCUCGUCUUGCCUUGUUGUCUAGUGGCGUGUGUUGGGGUCUUAGGUUCAAGGCACUAACGUUCUUAAUCCAAGAGGUCUUGAGACUAAGCAUUGACGUCUCGAAUUUGAUCCAUAAGGGCGUGUUUGAUAACGUUUCUGUUGCCGGGAACAAUUUCUAAGCAUUUUAAGCCGUUUGGUAACUGUCCAAAAUUUCAAUUCUCGGAAUAGAAUUGCGUUUAGUACAGUGCUCAAAAUUUCUACUCCAAAUCAUUUUCUUUUAAUUUUUAAAUAUUUUUAUUAAUUUUUUUCCUUUUUUCUUCUUUUCUUUUUUCCCUUUCUUUCUCAUAUUCUUCUUCUUCAAGUGGCCAAUUGUCAACAGGUUGGUCGGUGACUGGCUAGACGAGAGUUGGCAACCUCACCGGAGCGUUGCCAACCCUUGGCGAGGACGGCCAUCGUUGGCCGAGCCUCGCUGGCAGCUGGGCAAGGCUCGGCCAAGCCUCAGCGGGGUUGGGGGAGGCCCGCUUGGCCACCGACGAGGCUCGCCUAGCCCUUUUGAGCCUCACUGAACUAGUUGCUAGUGAUUGGUGAUGGUGGGCGGCGGAUGGCGAACGGCAACCACGGCGGUGGCAGUAGAUGAAGAAGAAGAAAAGGGAAGAAGAACAAGAAAAUAAAAAGAGAAAUUGAUUUUAGAAUUGUUCCCAAGAACAAGAAUCAACCUUUUUUAUUUUUAUUUUUUUAUUCUUGAUUCUGUUCCAAAUCUACUUUCGGGAACAAAAACAUAGAAAUUUAUUUCUGAGAACAAAAUUUUUACUAAACACGAUUCUAUUCCAAAAUUGCUCAUGGGAACAAAAGAAUAUAAAUUUUUACUAUUUGGCCAGUUAGCAAACAUGACCUAAGCAAGCACCCAAAGGUCAUGGGUCUGGGCAACUGGGACCUAAGUCCAACCACAAGGUUCUAUGUUUGGUAGCCAAAGUCUCAUCUCUUCAUGGAUUCAACAGUUUGAGUUUUGAGUUAAGAUGCUGAAGGCUUGGUUCAACCCUAGGUGCUAGGGACCGCGCCCAUUGUUCCCAAGUUGAUGACAUGGGAUGCAUGUUUUUAAAUAUUAUGAUUUUUAUUUAUUCUCUUGUCUUUCUUUAUUUUAGAAAUUAUUUUAGAAUACUGGAUGAUUUGUUUCAAUAGUUAUCAUUUACAUAUUUAAGAUAUCGUGGGAUAGAAUUUCUUAUUAGUUUACAUAUUUCCUAUUAUAAAAUUAGAAUUUCCUAAGUGUUUUAGAUAUAAAUAUGCAUUGUGUUUUCUUGUAAUUUGGCUUAUUUAUUGAUGAAUAAAGGGAAAAUUUCAAAUGAGGGCAUAUGGUGCUCUCAUUUUCUCAAAUAAGUGCCUGAAGUAACCGUUAUUUUAAAUAAGGGCUAGAAAAAAAUGAAUUGACCAAAUUCUCUCGAAUAAGGACUUUUGGCUAGCCGUUGACUAUUCUGCCAUUGGAGAAAGGGUAUUUUAGUAAAAAAAGUUCUAAGUAUAUAUUUUUUAUUUUUCUCUCCUUGCCAUGCCUCAAGUGAGGGUUGCCUUUGCUGGCGUUGGGUGAGGGUGAAGGUUGCCCUUGUUAGCCCAAGUGAGGCGAUCCUUGCCAAAUGCUGGGGAGGAGGAGCCGUUGCCUGAGUCCAGCAACUUGAUGGAAAAGGGGGAAAAAAGAAAAAGAAAAUAACAAAAAAAAAAGAAAAAAAAAGGAAUUUUUGUAAAGAUGAAAAUGCCUUUCGAUCAGCAAGGUUAGCCUCUUCUUUGAGACCAAUAUGGCUACUUUAGGUAUUCAUAUGAAACAAUUUCACUUCAAGCCCUUAUUUGAGAAAAUUAUAGCACUUCAAGCCCUUAUUUAAAAUAAAGUCUACUUUAGGCCAUUAUAUGAGAAAAAAAAAAGGAACACUUUAAGCCCUUAUUUGGAAUUUUCCCAUGAAUUAAUGAAAAAAUAGUGAGGUUUUCUUUGUAGCAUUUCGUGUAUGUGCAUCGAAAUGCAUAUCAUGAGUGUUUACUUGCGUUAAGGAAUUCUCAUAUAUGCUAUCACUCAUUUAGGUUAUGUUGGGCUAUCAUAGGUGUUGUCUAGGCAUCACUUGUCUAGCAGUAGUGCUUGUUCAACACUUGUUGCUCCAUAGCUUGCAUAUAAACUAAUUCGAUUUGGAUCACCAUUGGGUUUUUAUUUCUUAACCAUACCAAUUUGCUUCUUAAAUUCACCAAUUUAUCGAAAGGUUGAAAAAAUAAAAUCCAUGCCUAAUAAUUAGGGAAAAUAAAAGUUUAAUAUCAUCUCUGGUAGGAGCUGGAUUUAUAGUGCCACUAGUGAGCAAUUUCACCCAAAAGAACAUGUUUAAUUGAGAAACCUUGAACCGACACAAACAAGGAAAGGAUUACCCACAAAGGGCAAGACAGAAAAGGUGAAAUAUAGACUCCACCUUAAAAAAAAAAACCCAAUUAUAGAUUCACCAUCAUAGCAUCCAGCCAAAAGAUGGAAAAAGGAAGGAACCCCAUCGAUUGCGACAAUCACUAUCGGAAAAUAGAUAAGCUUCGCACAACUUGUGCACUCCACAAAAUGAUUGCGCCCGUCACAAGUUAUGGAGCGCCCCAAUGUCAACAUCUUUAGGGCUAGAACGGCUUAAUUGAUAAGAAAUCAUCUUGAUUAUCAUCAAGACAACGUUGGCCUAAGAAAUCGAGUCUGAUUGGGAUUUGGAAAAAAAUGCAUAUAUUCGCGUCGAUAAUGACAUUUUACGCGCGCGGGUAACAUUUUCAAUGGUGGGAUUGGUGUAGGUCUGCGCAUCCAGAAAUGAUUGUUGCGACAAUGAGUCUUUAUCUUGAUAUUGAUUAAGUUUAACGCGUUUUUAUAAAGAGUCAAAUGAUUUAUUUUUUUUUAAAGCAAAGAAUUAAUCAUUAUUUGAUGCCUAGGGGGCCGUGCCAAACACAGAGAACGAGGAGACAUCGCCAUAGAAAAAGUUGGUACCUUGAUUUGACGGAUUUUUUCAUACUACACACAUCAACCGUUCACGUACUCCAAAGGCGGGGCCUCUCAUGCUUCGAGUCAUGAAAUACCCACAAGAAUUUAUUUGCUUUGUCACUAUAUUAUUUAUCACCUAUGUAUGUAUUUAUGCAUCAACUUAGGUGAAAAUCAUCAUAUAUAAACCGAACCACUAUGAGUCAAAUUAUUCCAUACAUACAUACAUACAUACAUAUAUAUAUAUAUAUAUGUAUAUAUGUAAAGUAUGUUUGUUUUGUGAUUUUUGCUCUAUUAAGUUAAUGUAACAUGUACAAAAGGCGAUCGUCCGACGAGUUUGAGAUUUUACAAAACACAAGCUAAAUUGUUCCCUCUAGUCAAUUUCAAAAGAGUUGGAAUAUUGCAAACUUAACGAAUUUUUAUUUUCUUUUGAAAAACAGAACACCAUUUGUCCGCACAACAAGAGGAGACAUUACCAAAUUUUGUGGACAUGCUUUGUCCGAGACCCAGCCCAUGUCCAGCAGCCCAGAUUGUGAUGGGUCCAGCCUGGACAGGCCCAUGGGGUGGCUGAUGGGCCUUGUCAAACACUAUUCAGUUGCUCUCCUAAGCUACAUAAACGAUCAACGAUAAAAUUCAAUGUCACAAGACAAUUUUCUAUCGGGCACAAUGCAAAUAAUGAGGUCCUAGAAUUAUAUAAUUGCUUUUGAGAUGCGAAGUUCUCAUUUAUCUAAAUCAAUCGUAGCAUGGCAAGUGUUACCAACUUCCUUAUCUUCUUUCAAGAUUAAUAAUAGUAUUUUUCCACAUGAUGAUCCACUUGGAUGGAUUGAAAUGUCAUACUUUGAGAGCACAUAAUUUUUUUUUUAGUAGAUAGAUAUUUUAUUCCUUCUCCUGUUUGCAUUCUAAUAUAAAAAUAUGAAUGCCGCUACCCAAUAUGCUUUCCACUUAAUGAUUGGAGCGUUGAUCUUGUUGUAAAUGCUAGAUCAUCAACUAGGCCGUCUUAAUAAAGAUUAGUUGAAGUUUGCUAUACUUAAGCUCUUUGUGAGGUGCCCAAAACGAGCUCCAAAUUGCAUAAAGACCUUUGACAUGAGCCUGUAAUUUGAAGAGACAGUCGACGUGACCCCAAGUUUUGUAUAUUUGUAAUCUUAACGCAUGUAUGUUGUGGACCUACUUGGUCGCAUCCCAUAUGCUUGGGUUUUGUCAUGUUCAAUUGGAUGUCGCCAUAUCCAAGUUUGUCAUAGCUGUCGACCUAGACUAGGUAAGAACCACAUCAAUUUGCUUCAGUCGGUCGUGAGUAAAUUAUGAGCUGGGAUAAAUGCAAGUGAAUCUCAAGUGAUGCACUGGAGAAAAUAUUUGGAAAUGCCAUCGAACCUCACCUUUUGUCACUUCUAAGUAGUUAUUGAAUGAUCGGGAACGCCUUCUGUCACACCCGAAAACUACAAAGAAUGGGGAUGACACAGCCGUCUAUCCACACGAAGGACGUAGCCUCAAACACAACCAAUAAACUGAUAUCAACUUAUAUAUAUCUCAAAUCAUAUAUAUACAUAUCAGAUAAAUCAAUAAAUUGGUUGCAACAUCAAAAUUUCUAUAAUCCACCAAAAAAGAUAUACGUUUAAAACUCAGACAAUACAACCACUAGCAGGGAUCAUAUGCACCACUUCCUUAAACCAUACCAAAGAAAAUAAAAAUAGGACUCCCUAAAAGUUUCCCACCAACGGCCCUCUCGCUCUAUUCGCUGCUAACCGAGGAACUUGAAAAGAUUAAAAGAGGAGUGGGAUGAGCAACAACAACUUAGUGAUACCAAACUUCAUAACGCCAACUCAAUAUAUAAAAUACAUAUCAAAUCUUAUAAGAGUUAUUUCUUAUCAUCAAAGCUUAAUAAUAAUAUGGAAAACUCAUUUAAAUCGCCAUCAAAAGUCAAGUAUCAAUAGUCGAAUCCAUUGAAUAAUCUCCAUCAAAAAUACAUAUCAAUGGUCUAUCCAUUCAUUCAUCUCAUAUCAAACACACAUCGAUGGUCUAUCCAUCGACCAAUCUUUUGUUCAAUAACUAACUAUGGUCACGACACAAUGCCUUGUGACAAGGUGACCAAGAUUUCCCCUUGGCAAGGUCUCCACCUACAAAGUCGAUGGCUGGGCCCAGAAGGAUAUCCCAAACCUAGUAUGCAUACCCCAAAAAGCCCUUACUGGGUUCACAGUCAUAUUGAGCAUAAAUAACCAUUCUUCAAUACUAGAAAACCCAAUUCAGAAAUCAAUAUCUUAAACCAAACAAAUAACAUUUGCGGCAUAGCCCAUCAUCCAUUUUAUAUCCAUUUCUCAAAUCAUCAUAAACAUUUUCAUGAAUCAAUCACAAGGCAAUUUCAUAGAUAUUUCUCCACUUACUUUGUAUAAUACACUUUUCAAACAUCCACAAUCAACCAAUGAGUAGCAAUUGCUCGACCUGGCUUUUAUGCAAUAAAAAUGCUCUUCUCGAUUCAAUAUAUAUACAUAUAUAUACUUCAAGACAUGGUUUUUACAAAACCAAAGAAGAUAUACUACCACUCACCUCGUCCUCUACGACCAAACGACGAACGAUACUCGUAUCGUCGAACUCAAUGCCCUAUCAAAUAACCGAGAAAAAUGUUAAAAUCUAAUAAAACUCUAUCUCAACUACGAAACAACUAAAUUACGCCUUAACUCUAACAAAAGGAUUUCUACUCGCUAAUAAUUCGCAUAACCAAAACGAUUGUUCAAGCCAUUCGUGACGUGGAGUUUAAGCGCAAAACUUAGUUACGCAAUAACUUUCUCAUCCAAACCCCGUUCCGAACGUACUUUUGGUCAAUAAAGAGCCCUUGACACAUAUUACAAGAAUCCCAACUUGACUGUCCCAAAAUCAAGCAAAAAGAUGACAAAAUACGGGUCCAAAGCUGUUGGACACGUACUGUUCAUUGCGCGCGAGAAACUUUGAAAUUUUGUUUUGGAAAAACUUAUUAGCUCAAAUCACGAUCCAUAAAAUCCCACGGCUCCACAACACACUAAACUACCAUUCCUACAAAAAUACGCGGCUUAACGACUCCAAAAUCGGACUUCGCCGCUCGAUUUUCCAAAAAUUCCGAAUUUGAACCUUGAACCCAUAAACUGCUUCAAUUGGACGAAUGGGGGGCCUAAUCUCUUACCGGGUGCUGCAUUAUGGGAUCGAGUUGGCUUGGUGAGGCAUCUGAGGCAUGCAUGUGCCAAAACUUCUUUCCUUUCUUCUUCUUCUUCUUAUUUAUUUAUUUAUUUUUGGUUGAGGACCCCUCAGCUUCUAUUUAACCGAGCCCUGACUUUUCAACUUCUUUUUCUGUUUUUUCUUUUGGGGCCCAGUAGCCAAAUAUUACAUUCUACCUUCCUAAAAAAAAAUUUCGUCCUCGAAAUUUACAUGUACUUCAAUCAUAAAACAAGUGAUGGUAUUUGUGUCAUGCCUCCUCCUCGAGUUCCCAAGUAGCCUCUCUCUCGGUGUGGUUUUGCCAUUGUAUUUUCACAUAAGGAAUAGUUCGUCGCCGCAACACCUGAUCCUUCUUAUCGACAAUGCAAAUAUGUUGUUCCUCAUAUGUCAAGUUCUCCCGUAAUCUCAAUGGAGUAAAGUCUAGCACAUGUUCAGGAUUUGCACAUAUUUCCGCAACAAAGAGACAUGGAACACAUUAUGGACAGUUGAUAGUGCCGGUGGCAAAGCCAAUUUAUAAGCGACUUCACCAAUUUUCUCUAAGAUCAAGAAUGGUCCCAUGUACCUUGGAUUUAACUUCCCACGUGUGUCAAAUCUCGUUACACCCUUCGUAGGAGAAACUUUUAAGAACACGUGAUCCCCCACAUUAAAUUCUAACUUGCGUCUUUUUAGAUCCGCAUAACUUUUCUGAUGAUUUUGAGCCGUUCUGAGACGUUCUCGAACCAACCUAACUUUCUCUUCUAAUUGCUGGAUGAACUUAGAGCCAGUUAGUCUUUUCUCACCAACGUCUUCCCAAAAAAUAGGACUUCUACAUUUUCGUGCCAUCUUAAUACUGGAGUGAUAAUUGUUGUUAUAAGAAAAUUAUGCCAAAUAUAGAUAUUCAUCCCAAGAACCGCCAAAGUCAAUGAUGCAUGAUCUCAACAUAUCCUCUAAUGUCUGGAUCGUUCUCUCUGAUUGUCCAUCUGUUUGUGGAUGAAAAGCUAUACUUAAGUUGAGUUUAGUGCCCAAUGCUGCUUGCAAACUCUUCCAAAAGUUAGACACGAACCUAGGAUCCCUAUCAGAAAUAAUGCUUACAGGAACUCCAUGAAGCUUCACUAUCUCAUUAACAUAUCGCCUUGCCAUAUCUUCCAUUGAAAGACCAAAUCGAUAUGACAAAAAGUGAGUGGACUUAGUCAAUCGAUCACCAUUCACCCAAAUAGAAUUCCUACCACUGGGCGUCCUCGGUAGACCAACUACAAAGUCCAUGGCAAUAUGCUCCCACUUCCAUGUAGGUAUCUCUAGAGGUUGCAACUAUCCACCUGGUUUAUGAUGUUCAAUUUUCACUGGCUGGCAAACUAAACAUUGAUCAACAAAUUUUAUAAUAUCAUUUUUCAUGUUGAUUCACCAAAAGUUUUUUCUCAAGUCCCUAUACAUUUUAGUGCUUCCCGGAUGAAUUGAAAAUCUAGUACUGUGAGCUUCUUGCAGGAUCUCCUUUUUCAGCUUUGAGUCCUCAGGAACACAUAGUCAACCACGAAACCUCAAGGAUCCAUCUAUGUGUAAACUAAAUCUGCUUGUCUUUAAGCUUCCACAGCUUCUCUAAUUUUUUGUAAUUGUGGAUCUUCAUUCUGUUUAGCCUUAAUUAUGUUAAUCAACAUAGGUUGUACUUGAAGAUUAGCUAAUUGAGCACCAAGCUGCUGCACCAACACCUCUAAGUCUAACUUCCUCAUAUCUUCAAGAAUGAGUUUUUAAGAAGUGAGCAAAGCUACCAUAUUUCCAAAGGAUUUACGACUCAAAGCAUUCGCUACCACAUUAGCCUUACCCAGAUGGUAAUUAAUGGAUAAGUCAUAAUCAUUCAAAAGUUCUAACUAUCUUCUUUGCCUCAUGUUCAGUUCUUUCUGAGUAAAAAUAUACUUUAGACUCUUGUGAUCGGUAAAGGCUUCACAUUUUUCACCAUACAAAUGAUGCUGCCAUAUCUUCAAGGCAAACACAACCGCCGCUAACUCCAAAUCAUGAGUGGGGUAGUUCUUCUCAUGUAAUUUCAAUUGUCUAGAAGCAUAGGCAACAACUUUGCUAUUUUGCAUAUAAACACAACCCAAACCUUCUUUGGAUGCGUCGCAAUAGAUUAUGAAGCCACCACUUCCAGAAGGUAGAGUUAGAAUAGGAGCCGACACCAGCCGUCUCUUCAACUCUUGAAAACUAUGUUCACAUUGGUCUGACCAUUCAAAUUUAACUUUCUUCUGGGUUAGACGGGUAAGUGGACUAGCAAUCUUUGAGAAUCCCUCUACAAAUCGCUUAUAGUAGCUGGCUAGCCCAAGAAAACUUCUCACUUCUGUAACAUUAGUUGGACGAUUCCACUUAACAACUACUUCAACCUUCUUUGGAUCCACUAAUAUGCCAUCCUUCGAGAUCACGUGACCCAAGAAUUCUAUAUGAUCAAGCCAAAAAUCACACUUACUAAAUUUGGCAUACAACUUCUUUUCAUGUAAAGUCUGCAAGACAAACCUCAAGUAUUGUUCGUGUUCCUCUAAACUCUUCGAAUACACUAGGAUGUCAUCAAUGAACACCAUAAUAAAUUUGUCUAGAUAUUCCCUGAACACUUUGUUCAUCAAGUCCAUGAAGGCAACAAGCGCAUUUGUUAAUCCAAAAUGCAUGACGAGAAAUUCAUAAUGGUCAUACCUUGUUCUAAAAGUGGUUUUAGGCACAUCAUCUGUUUUUAUCUUCAACUGAUGAUACCCAUAACGAAGGUCAAUCUUGGAAAAUACCUGAGCUCCCUGAAGUUGAUCAAAUAAAUCCUCAAUCCAAGGCAAAUGAUAUUUGUUUUUAACCGUUACCUUGUUAAGCUCUCGAUAAUCUAUGCAAAGCUGCAUACUACCAUCCUUCGUUUUCACAAAUAGAACAGGAGCUCCCCAAGGCGAAACACUAGGUUUGAUGAAACCUUAUCGAAAAGCUUUUCAGUUGCGUUUUCAAUUCUUUCAAUUCAGUGGGUGCCAUCCGAUAUGGUGCCUUAGAGAUUGGUGCUGUACCGAGCAUCAAUUCAAUACAAAACUCAAUUUCUCUAUCAAGAGGCAAGCUUGGUAAAUCCUCAGGAAACACACUUGGAAACUCUCUAACGACAGGAACAUCUUCCAACUUUACUACAACCUUAUGUGUGUCUUUUACACAAGCUAAAUAACCACAACAGCCUUUUCUCAAAAGUUUCCUUGCUUGCAAAGCUGAGGUCAACCUUGGAGAAAUGUUUUGACAACUUCUCGAAAAAGAGAAUUCGGGUUGAUUCGAAAGUCUAAGUAUCACCUUUUUUGAAAAACAGUCAACAAUAGCACGAUAGGUAGAUAACCAAUUCAUUCCUAUAAUAACAUCGAAAUCUCGAAUAUUUAACUCUACUAGAUCCACAGGCAUUUCAACAUUUUUAAUCUGAAUCACACAUCUCUUGAACACAUGAUGACCAACUAAGAAAUCGCCAGUGGGAGUAUCAACACACAAUUCACAUUCAAGAGGGUCAGGCAACACAUCAAGCUUCUUUGCAAUUUCAGUUGAAAUGAAGAAGUGCGUAGCACCAGGAUCAAAUAAGGCAUAAGCACAUUGUGAGGCAAUAGAAAUAUUACGUGCAACAAUUGCGUUAGAUGCUGCCGCAUCCUCCUUCGUCAUUGCAAAAACUUUCUCACUUGUACUUUGUCUUUGUUAGUUCUCUUGGGGCCUACCAACGAAAGGGGUAUUCCUCCGCAUGGAACACUGGUGUGCUAGGUGGCCUUGUCGCUCACAUAGAUUACAUGAUCUAUUGCCAAUAGGAGGAUUCCUUUGUGUAGAACAAUCUCGCAGCAUGUGUCCCGCUUUCCUACAUGAGAAGCAUACUUCAAUUUUCCGAUGACACUCACUGCGAUGAUAACUUCCACAUGUAUUACAAGGGCCCUGGUUACUCGGAUUUCUGAACUAUCCUGGCCGGCUGAAACCUCUUCGCCUUCCACUACCAUCAGUAUGGCUACCUUGUACAUUUGUGGGCUUAAACCUUUUGGGUUUAGGCGCUCCUUGUGUGCCAUGCUUCAGAAUGCUUUGUUCCACCUUGAUUGUCCGUUCUAGCACAUCCUUAUAAGUUUUUAAUAUGAAAGGUGCAAGUGCAGAAUUAAUUUUAGGUCGGAGCCCUCCUAGGAAAUGGUCGGCCUUAUCUUCCUCAUUUGCUACCUAGUGCUCUGCAAAUCUACUCAACUGAUUAAAGCGAACUGAAUACUCCAAGACCGUGGAGUCACCCUCAGAUAUAUGUACAAAGUCACCCUUCAUCUUUGCCUGGAAUGACUUUGGGAAGAAUUGAGCAUUGAACGCCUUUUAAAAGUCCUCCCAAGAUAUAAUAACAUCCCUACCUCCAAGACUUGGCUUCAUUCCAUCCCACCAAAACUCUGCUUCACCUUCCAGGUAUUGGGUGGCAAAUUGAACUUUCCGAUCCUCGGGAACCUCUUCAGCUUCAAAGAUCCCAUCAAUCUUUUUAAUCCAACGCUUAGUCGCAAGAGGAUCAGCUUUCCCAUCAAAAGUGGGUGGUUUUGCCUUUCUUAAAUGGGCAAAAGUGCCUGAGCCAGUCGCUCCAUCUCCAGUUAAUUCUUUUGCUUGGUGAUACCAAUGGAUCAUUACUUGUUCAAAUUCAGUUGAACAGGUUGGCUCUUGAUCCUCUUCUUUGACUUCGCGCAAGUUAGGACUCCUAUUAUAGUGGUCCUCAAGUCUCCUUCUCAAAAACUCACCUCGAGAAGCUUGAGGUAUGUCUCUAGCCUCAGGGGUAGUGACUCGUUUGCCUUUGCGGCUCCUACGAAGCGAGGCAAGUGUCUCAAAGUUGGUACUCAUGAUCACCUGAAUCUAAUAAUGAAACUACACCUUAGAAUCUAGAAGACUAACGCAAAAAUAAAAUCUAUCACACAACCUCACAACAUCCCAUAACUACAUCCAAAAAGAUCAAAACUUAGGCUCUGAUACAAAAAAUGUCACACCCCAAAACUACAAAGAAUGAGGAUGACACGGCCAUCAUUCCACACGAAUGACGCGACCUCAAACACAAUCAACAAACUAAUAUCAACUUAUAUAUAUCUCAAAUCAUAUAUACACAUAUAAGAUAAACCAACAAAUUGGUUGCAAUAUCAGAGUUUCUAUAAUCCACUAAAAAAAAUAUACGUUUAAAACUCAGACAAUACAACCACUAGUAAGGAUCAUGUGCACCACUUCUUUAAACCAUAUCAAAGAAAAUAAAAAUAGAACUCCCCAAAAGUUUCCCACCAACGGCCCUCUCGCUCUAUUCGCCGCUAACCGAGGAACUUGAAAAGAUUAAAGGAGGAGUGGGAUGAGCAACAACAGCUUAAUGAGUAGUACAUCUCUUCUAAGUAGAUCGAACAACCAUUAUGCAUGUAUAUAAAGUAAUACCAAACUUCAUAACGCCAACUCAAUAUAUAAAAUACAUAUCGAAUCUUAUAAGAGUUAUUUAUUAUCAUCAAAGCUUAAUAAUAAUACGGAAAACUCAUUUAAAUCGCCAUCAAAAGUCAAGUAUCAAUGGUCGAAUCCAUUGAAUAAUCUCCAUCAAAAACACAUAUCAAUGAUCUAUCCAUUCAUUCAUCUCAUAUCAAACACACAUUGAUGGUCCAUCCAUCGACCAAUCUUUUGCUCAAUAACUAACCAUGGUCACAACACAACGCCUUGUGAUAAGGCGACCGAGAUUUCCCCUUGGCAAGGUCUCCACCUACAAAGUCGAUGACUGGGCCCAGAAGGAUAUCCCAAAUCUAGUAUGCAUACCCCAAAAAGCCCUCACUGGGUUCACAGUCAUAUUGAGCAUAAUAACCAUUCUCCAAUACCAGAAAAUCCAAUCAAGAAAUCAAUAUCUUAAACUAAACAAAUAACAUUUGCAGCAUAGCCCAUCAUCCAUUUCAUAUCAAUUUCUCAAAUCAUCAUAAACCUUUUCAUGAAUCAGUCGCAAAGUAAUUUCAUAUAUAUUUCUCCACUUACUUUGUGUAAUACACUUUUCAAACAUUCACAAUCAACCAAAAAGUAACAAUUGCUCAAUCUGGCUUUUAUGCAAUAAAAAUGCUCUUCUCGAUUCAAUAUAUAUAUUUCAGGACAUGAUUUUUAUAAAAUCAAAGAAGAUAUAGUACGACUCACCUUGUCGUCUACAACCAAACGACGAACGAUACUCGUAUCGUGGAAUUCAAGGCCCUAUCAAAUAACCAAGAAAAAUGUUAAAAUCUAAUAAAACUCUAUCUCAAUUACGAAACAGCUAAAUUACGCCUUAACUCAAACAAAAAGACUUCUAUGCGCUAACAAUUCGCAUAACCAAAACGAUUGUUCAAGCCAUUCGUGACGCGGAGUUUAAACGCAAAACUUAGUUACGCAAUAACUUCCUCCUCUGAACCCCAUUUUGAACGUACUUAUAGUCAAUAGAGAGCCCUUGACAAAUAUUACAAGAAUCCCAACUUGACUGUCCCAAAAUCAAGCUGAAAGAUGACAAAAUACGGGCCAAAAGUUGCUGGACGCGUACUGUUCACUGCGCGCAAGAAACUUUGAAAUUUUGUUUCGGACAAACCAUAUGCUCAAAUCAUGAUCCAUAAAAUCCCACGGCUUCACAACACCAUGAACUACCAUUCCUACAAAAAUACGCAGCUCAACGACUCCAAAAAUGGACUUUGCUGCUCGAUUUUCUAAAAGUUCCGAAUUUGACCCCUAAACCCAUAAACUACUUCAAUUGGACGAACGAGGAGCCUAAUCUCUUACCGGGUGCUGUGUUAUGGGGUCGAGUUGGCUUGGUGAGGCGUUCAAGGCGUGCACGUGCUAAAACUCUUUUCCUUUCUUCCCCUUUCUCUUCUUUCUUUUCUUUCUGGUUGAGGACCCCUCAGCUUCUAUUUAACCGAGCCCUCUCCCCUCUUCUUUUUACUUUAUUGACUUUUCAACUUCUUUUUAUGUUUCUUCUUUUGGGCCCCACUAGCCAAAUAUUACACCUUCCCACCGAGUCAAGUCAAUGUCGCCCCUACCAUCUUCUACGUCUGGACGUGAGGAAGUUAUUGUUGCCCGAGUGACGCAUGUAAUGACGCCUUGAGGCCCUCCAUCUUUUCCUUAUCACAACUUGUCCCGUUCUUGCACCGAUUCCUCACUCCUAGUGCGUCCCACGUUCACCAGAUUUCUGAGGAAGAAAGGAAAAUGUCGAGCUCUCAGUGUUUUGAGAACCCACCAAACCUGAGCUCCACUUGCGGAGCAGGACACGUUGAAGAGCUUGCAGGUCUCAAGACUUACGUCACCGGCCCUUCCGAUUCCAAGCGUGCUGUUCUUCUCAUCGCCGAUGUUUUCGGUACUGGCCCAUUUCUUUAAUUUUGAUUUUGUGGUGUUUCUCUCAGUUGGGUCUUUUCUUUUGGUCAAUUAUGUAUAUCUCCUUGGUUCUUUGUCGUUCUUGUGCUUUUCGAUUGGUCCAUGAUAUUGCUGCUUGAUUGAUCUUUGCUCAUCUGUUUGUGCAGGGUAUGAGGCUCCUAAGCUGAGGUAUGGAAUCUUUCUCAAGUUGUUCUAUGUAUAUGUUGUUCUCUAGUGCCAUCUUUUGACGUUUCAUGGUGAAUAAACUCUGUAUUCUCCGGAUAGCAUACAUUUGAAAGCUUUGCUUUUCCGUUCACCUUUCACCUGUGAUGACGAAGAGCAUUAGAUGGCACUUGAGGGCGAAGCCAGUUCAUUCUGGAUGAGUGUGUUUGGCGUUCUUCUGUUCCAAGUUAAAACAUCAUUUGUUGAAUUGUAUAUACACGCGGGACCUCAUGGCAUAGUCCAGCUGACAUUUUAUAUACAUCGCUUGAUUCAAUACGAAUCUCAGUUUUCUUUGUUCUAAUGAUUUCUGCUACUAGUAUGGCUCAGCUGGUCAUGUAAUUCGGUUUCAUCUUGAGAUAGAGUUAUCCUUAGUUGCAACACCAAAAUCACAUAAGCUGGGGUUGCCUUCUUGACAGUCCCGGCAUAAUUCUAUGUUUUAACAAGAUUGAGAAUGAUAAGAGUUACCUUUUCAAAUGGUCAUACUUAUUUGCGGAAUGCUUUCCUUGUGUAGGAAACUCGCAGAUAAAAUUGCAUCCGCGGGAUUCUUGGUGGUCGUACCUGAUUUCUUUUACGGAGAUCCCAUUAUUGAUUUCACUAGUCCUAAUUUCAAUUUUGAAGCUUGGUUUAAGAAUCACGGCACGGUGAGUUUUUCACUCCUUCAGGCUGUGAAAGUGUGACAGUACAUUUAGAAGUUCAGAGGAAACAAGGGGCUUUCUACUGUGCAAACUUGAUUUGUAGACUCGAAUCACACGCAGUAAGUUGCAUUGGUAUUUAGACCUGGUUGGAGAUUGCUGGUCAUUUCAAAGAUUUUCGACGCCCAGCAAGAUCUUUAUUAUAUAAAAUUCCAAAUGCAAAACAUGAAACAGCAUAAGUAGAAUAAAAGCCUCAUGAAUUUUGAUGUUACCGACUUUUAGACAAUCUUUUUAUAAACGUUUACUUCAUUUGCUUCUUUAGGAUAAAGGGCAUGAAGAUGCCAAGCCAGUGAUUGCUGCUCUUAAGAGCAAAGGUGUGUCUGCCAUUGGGGCUGCAGGAUUUUGUUGGGGAGGUAAAAUUUUCUGAAUUCACUUUCCUAGUUCUGAGGGGGUUGUUGGGUUAAGAAAUGGGAAAUUUGUUCUUAUUGGAAAUUGUAAUCCAUUUUCUCUAAAAAUAUCUAGAAACUACUAACUUAAUCAUGAAGGUGAGAACCUUCUAGAAUUGUUGAGAAUGAAGAUUGCUAGUUGAAUCUAGAAGAUUCACAUGGGAAUGCAAGCAAGCAAAAGCCAAGCAUCAAAGAAAAUCCUAGAACAAGCAAGAGAAGUCUAGAGAAGUCCAUGCUUCAAGAGAAGUCUAGAAUUCUAGAAUGCUUCAAGAGAAAUCUAGAAUUCUCUAUCUUAGGUUAGUAGCUAUUUGUAGAGAAGUCUAGAGACUUCCUCCACCUACUUUGGCAGCCUAUAUAAAGGAGCAAGUGCUCCAUGUUUUGGUGAAAGGGAGCUAACCAUAAAAACCACAUCAUGCUCCCUCACCAACACUUCCUUCAACUAUUGUAAAAUUAUUUUAUCUAACUAAUCAAACUAUUUUUGUCCCAUAAACCUUCUCAAAAUAUCCUAUAUCCCAUGUUCUUUAUCCUUUAAUUAUCCUAGUUUAUCUUUUGUCCGUCCUCUACAAACUAUAUCAUACACUUGCACACAACAUCACUAAUAAAAAACUAUCAUCAAUACCAAAACCAUACUUCUGCGCAUAUUUAUAUUUUUAACAGUUCUACAUUGACCGUUGAGAAACUAGUUUUGUUGACUUGCAGAAAAGUUCUUUCAAGUUGUUAAAAAGAGCUUGCCUAUUCUUUUCAGGAGUGGUGCUUGUGAAAUUAGCGGGCACUGAAGACAUUCAAGCAGCAGUUAUUCUGCACCCCGGUCCUAUGACCGAAGAUGCAAUCAAAGGUAAAGCUAUGCCAAUAAACAUGGACUUGCUAUUUUCUUUUCAGCCGCAGCGAUAUAAUUUCUUCAUGAGGGUAUAAGACUUGGUACUUGGCACGGGAGCCUUUAUCGCCUAUUAUGAAAUGCUCAUGAACAAUUAAAUUAUAUGAAUUCUGAUGGGAGUCUGUAAUGCAGCCAAGAGUGACGAAGAAACUCGCUAUAACAUGUCCGGUCAAUUACAAAAAAUCGAUGGCACGACUUUUGUCUACUUGAGAAGUGUUCCUUAAACUGGAAGCCUUAAAAGACCUUAUUUUCUUCUGUUCUUUGUUCAGCUGUCAAGAUUCCAACUGCUAUAUUGGGAGCCGAGAUUGACCAUUCUUCCCCGCCGGAACAACUGAAAAAGUUUGGGGAGAUCAUGUCGGCUAAAACUGAAGUAAGCUUCUUAGGAUGCUUUGCAUUGGUUGCAAACCAAUUGUGAGAAAAUGCAAUCGAUUUUUUACAUUCCCGUCAUUUCGCUUGGAAAGCACUUUCCCUUCCUGGUUAUUUAUACACAUCGCUAAUUCAAAGACCCCGGUUUUGCAGUUUGAGAGCUAUGUGAAGAUAUUCCCUGGUGUUAGUCAUGGAUGGAGUGUGAGGUACGACGACGACAAUGAAUUGGUGGUCAAGAGCGCCGAAGAGGCCCAAGAAGACACUUUGAAUUGGUUCUUGAAGCAUGUCAAGUGAAGAGAACCGAAGGCAUUGAAGCAGAACAUUCUGACGGAAGCAGUAGAUGACUGUAUUGUGUGAGACGAACAGUUUGAGGACUAGUCAUCUAUUGUAAUAUCUGGCGAGGGAACAAUGUACUGUGCUGUUGAUACUUAGAGAAAUAAAGACAUUGGUUUCAUCGCUUAAACUUGGAAGAUUGAAAACAAAAUAUAUCGCCUAGAGUUGUAUCGUGGCGAUUUGGAUGCGUUUGUUAUUCGAAUCGGUUAGAGGUGUUCACUGUCCACUGGAUGAGGACCACAUAAUGGAAUAUGAAACAGCAUAUUUUGAAGGAUGUGUUAUUUGCAUGGUUACCACCUUGUCAUCAGCUAAAGUGGCUAAUAUCUAAGGUAAUCUCUAGACCACUUGAUUUUGAAUGUAUCCAUUAUAUUAUAACUUGACAAGUAUGCGAGCAAUUAAUAUUUUAUUAAAAGAUACACGACCUCAAAAUCACAUGUCUCAAGAAUUAAAAAAGAAGAAGAGAUGAAAGUAAGGAUAUGGAGAAGAAUAGUAUCCAAAAUAUAUGAGAAACCAACUAUUCGAACUUAUGACAAAAGCGAAACGUUUGUUUUCUAUCAAGUCUAUAUGAUAGUAGGUUAAGAUUUUUCGAAACUAAACCGGAUAGACAUGGCAAAAUUCGUCCUUCAUGUAUAUGGUAUAUAUUUUCGCAACGUGCAUUUGUAUACUGACCAAAUAAUUUCAGAUUUUGGCCAGAUUGUGUUUUUUCGUGAGAGGAAGCAUGUCUCUAUCAGGCUAAAUAUAUUAUGGUUUCGUCUUUGUUCGUUUCUCGUCUGUUUCUCACCGGCCCUCUUCCUUGUUUGACGUCAGCAGUGACGUUAAUACGAACCACGAGACCUUUGAUAACUAAUCCAAACCAUAAGAUUACACGUGCAAGGUGUCUGCAAGAUUAACUUUUUCAGACGCUGUGAUAUCAUAUCGCGGAUAGGCCUAUAGUUUUCAUAAGGCAUUAAUGCACGAUUCCACUUAGCGACCAGAGGAUCACCGUAUCAUCUCUCGUCUCUUGGCUCUGUUCUUACCUCGGAAAGAAUAAAGAAAUGAAGAAAAAGACCAUGAACAGUAAACAAUGAAAGAAAAAAAAAGAAAAAAAUCAAAAUAUCUAUAAAAUCUCUCAAAACGACGUCAUUUCGAGUGGAGUUAUACACGUCAAUAUCACUAACCCUUGGCAUGUAAGAUAACAAGCAUUGAUUUGCACCUCUACAUCAGAAUUUCCUGACAUAAAUUAGUUGGAUAGACUAUAUUACAAAAUUGUUGAAAGGUUCAUGACUACACUAGUCGAAUUGGACAGUUUAUUAUGAAAUUGGAACUUGUACAAUUUGUUCACGGCUUUUGGGUAGUUUUUCCCAUCUUAAGUAAGUCGUAAUUCUAAUACAAGGACGCAUAAGCUCUAUGCUUUUCUUAUUUAUUUUUUGGCCUAUGGUGAAUUAGGUGAUGCUUUUUUCGCGCGGUUGGGACAGAGACAACUGCUUUGUCUCCAAGCCGGCAACUUCCAUAUUGCUGAACCUGGACAUGAAUUUAGUAUCUGUACCACAAUUGUUGAAAUAACCUAAUGAAAAAGCCUAGAUCGGUCAAAAUUGGUUGAUUUGGGUCAUCUAGGAACCGGCCUUUGAAUUAAAGUCUAUCAAACCCAGGCCUAAAACUAUAUUGGUUGAUCCAGGCUGAAAUUGGAUUAGUCCACUUAUCAAUUGCAUUAGCCUGUCAGGACUCAACAGCCGGCAAUUAUCUGGGUUUGUAAGAAAGUUCCAUGCAUAGUAUACGGUAACUGGUUAGUAAUGGCUGAACAAACUUCAAACAAAAGCAAAGCAGGUGAUGGGCCUUUCUCUCUUGGAAAUUGGAAAUUGCUGAAAAAUGCUUUCAAAGAUCUUUCUAUUGGAGUUUUCGAAGUUCUCCAUAACCACAAAAAUUGUUUAACUUUUACUAGUUCAGAUUUUCAAGUGAGAUUAAAAAAAAAAAAAUCAUUUUGAGAUGUUUGCCUUCAAAAGUUUCUAAAACAAAUUUCUAAAGAAAAAGACUCGAGUUUAGCGCACAUCAGACAUCCCUUCCUCGAGACCAUGGACUGGGUUCCUCGGGUCCAAGAUUCGGGGUCGAGGGGGCAGGUUUCCCAAGUUCAAGCACUGGAUUCGACGCACUCCCGAGGCUCGGUACGAGGCAUUGGGAGCAGAGGACCAACGUCCCAUCUUGCUUUGUUGCCUAGUGGCGAGCGGGGUCCCAGGUUCAAGGCAACGACGUUCCGAGUCCAACUCUGAAGUCUCAAGACUAAGCAUCGUGGUCUCGAAUUUGACCCACAAGCACCCAAGGUAUGGGGUCCGAGCACUUGGUUCCUCAGUCCGACCCCAAGGUCCUAUGUUUGGCAGCUGUAGUCCCCCAUCUCUGAAGAUGAGGCGAUCGGGUUCUCGAAUUUAGAUGAUAAGGUCUUGGUUUAGCCUUGGUCAAGGUCCCAAGUUCAAGGGUUGAUGACACGGGCGUGUAUUUUAUAUAUUAUAACUUUUUACUAAUUUCCUUUAUAUUUAACAUAUGGUAGGAUAGAAUUUCUUUUGUAAUUUAAUUAGAAUUUCAUUAGAAUUUCAUUAGUUCUUCAAAUAUGUUAAGUUUUCUUGUUAUAUAAAAAUAUUGAGAGUUCUCCUCUGCUGCAUUCAUGUGCGUGCGCCAUCGUGUGUAGUGCGAGUGUUUACUUGUGUUGGCGAAUUGCCACUUGUGCAAUCACUCUUUUAUGUUACAUUAAGGGGCUAUUUGACAACGUGCCAAACAGUGUCAGAUUCUGAUUUUUUGUUCUCCGGAACAGAUUUAGAAUGGAAUUAAGAAUUUAAAAAAAAAAGUUGAUUCUUGUUUAGGAAACAAAUUUGAUAAUCGAAAUCAACUCUUCUUUUUCUUCUUCCCUUUCGCCACCUCGUGAUCGUUGUCCACCACCACCUGCCGCCAUCCGCCACCAUCCGUUGUCACUUGCCACAGCCCGCCGCCGCUGGUCACCAUCCGCCGGUCCGACAAGCUCGCCGAAGGCAAACCUAGCCACUGAUGAGGCUGGGCGAGCCUUACCCAACUGUCGGCGAGGCUCGAUCGACGAGGGCCAGCCUCGGCAAGGGCUGGCGACGCUUCGGUGAGGUUGCUGGUCCUCAUCUGGUUGGUCGCUGAUCUGGUGACCGGCCACAAGAAGAAGAAGAAGAAUAUGAGAAAAAUGAAAAAGAAAAAAAGAAAGGAAAAAAAGAAAAAAAAAGGGAAAAUUGAAAAAAAAAUAUUUAAAAAUUAAAAGAAAUUGAUUUGAAAUAGAAUCAAUGAGUAUGGUACCAAAUGCAAUUCUAUUUCAGAAUCAGAAAUUUUGGACAGUUACCAAAUAACUUAAAAUGCUUAAAAUUUGAUUCCAUGAACAAAAUAAAAAAAUAAUAAUUUCUGAUCAGAAUCUACUCUCGGGAAUAGAAUCGUUAUCAAACGCAUCCUAAACAAGUCCGGCCUUUGAGCACCGAUGUCUCAAAUUCAACCUUAAGAUGUGAAACCCGACCCUUUGAGUAUCGGGUUCGAAGAGUAGGUUAUCUGAGUUAUUUCCUCGAUAUUUUGAGUCCUGAAUAUGGGAAUGGUCUUGGUGGUGGUGGAAGUCAAAUCAGAUUCUAGAAAAUGUUGAGUCCUUUCAAGCGGCGGAAAUUUAUUUCCAAAAUCGAAGUGAAGAUUUCUAAUUGAUCAAAAAAAGUUCUAUAUUAACUCAUGUUUCUAACCGGCGUCAAAAGGCAAAAGAUGAAGCAGGUAUUUUACCAGCUAAUUUCCGGCAAGACAAACGGCUAAAACGUAAUUCAUUGUGCAGAAGCUCCUCGAGACAAAGGGAUCACUUGAUUUUUUAUGGUCCGUUCUCAAAGCCGAUUUGUUCCAGACUUUUUACAAAGAUCAAUCGAUCAAGCAUAUGGAGAAAGUGAGCUUCAAUGAGCUUUAGAGUUUUGACCAUAGAAAAGGGGAAUUUUUUUGUAUCAAUCAUCUUGAAGUUGGCAUAGGGUGUUUCUAUCAAUUACUCAAAUAUUUUUUGGCUGUUGUUGCAACAAGCGUUAUUCGACUUGAUUGGUCGAAUUAGGCAGAAUCCAAUCAUGCUUAAUCGCCGCACCUCCGCUUUCUUUUGGACUUACUCGUGGAAGCACAUAUUUCUACAUCUCCAGCAAUUAUCUAGUGCACAAGGGAUGGGGGAACUGACACAUCUGAUAGGGAUGGGAUUAGGUUGGGCACACAAAAAGUCCUAGAAAUCCAUUGCUACAACAAAAGAAUUCGAGGAAUUCGAAACAAGUGACUUUUCCUUUGUCUAGCUCGAAGAGAGAUUCUUCUAUGCCUCAUGAAUGUGACAUUUCUAUUCAUCCAAAUCAAUCACCACAUGUUGAUUAUUGUAAAUUGCCUUCUUUUAUUUUAAAAUGAUAAAAAAAAACUGCGUAGACAAUGACUAGAUUGGCUGGCUAGAUCAUAGUUAAAUUUCUCCCUCAAUAGGUGCAUUGAUUGUUGAUCCCGAACUAAACUUAAGAGCUUACACUUCUUUAUGCACACAAAGUUUCAAUCUCUUAUGAAAUUGAUAAAAAAAAUGGUCAUUGAAGUAUAAAGUUCUUUCUAAUUGAGAGGUGUUGAAAAUAAUAGUCACCAACAAAAACAGGCACAUCAAAAGAAGUCUCUAUGGAAAGGUUAGGUCUUUGUUCCAAAUUCUAAUCCUGAUUAAUGAUGCGACAUCUUCAUUGGGUCUUGAAGUGUCUGUUUAAUUCUCUUUGCUCCAUAGCUAGCAUAUACUAAUUCAAUUUGGAUCAAUUGGUUUUUUAAUUUUGUAAUCAUACUAAUAUGCUUCUUUAAAUGCUCCAAUUUAUUGAAAAGAAAAUAAAAUCUCAAUAGGAGAUUGAUUUCUAUUGGCAUUUACAAGAAAUUCCACCAAAAAAAAAAAAAGUUUAAUUGGAACCUUGGACUGAUACAAACAAGGAAAGGACGACACCAGAGUGCAAAAUGGAAAGAUGAAAUAUAGAUACCCCUUGGCGAUUUUAGUUUAACAUCUUUCUAUAAAGAGUCAAAUAAGUUUUUUAUAAAAAGGCAAAGGAUUAAUCAUUAUUUGAUGCCUAGGGGGCCAGGCCAAACACAGAGAAUGAGGAGACAUCGUGUUGAUACCUAAAUUUUGACGACCCGUUUAGUCAUUUAUUGCAUUAAAAAAUUAGGGGUUAAUUUUAUUCUUGAAAAAAUAGUCAAUUGCAUAGCAUAUAGUUUUAGAUGCAUUUAUUUUUUAAUUUGCAUUUACCAUGGGUCAGUGACAAAUGGGUUUAAUUUAGUGGUUCUAAAAUUUAAUUUGGCAGGUCAGACUAAGCCCACGAAGCAAAUAAAUUGACCCGAGCCUGUUUUCUUUUAAUGACAAAAAUUACCUAAAUAGAAAUUUGAAAUGAUAUCACGGUGGAUUUUUGAAAUUUAAUAAAAUUGGAUUGCAAUCUUAUCUUUAGGAGAUAAUAUUAAAAGAUGUGGAAAAUAAAAAAAGUGAUAUUACGUGCGAAAAAGAAAUCUUCGCGAAUGUUGAUUUGGAAAGGAAAUUAAAACCAUGAUCUUCAGCCUAUAAAAAGAUUUUUCGCGUAGGGUUUCGAGGAGGCCACACAUUGAAUAUAUGGCAGCACAACAAAAGGGUUUUGGAGAAAGAGAGAUAUACCGGGAGAGAUCGGAGAAAAGCUCGACGGUUUUGUCAAAAGACCAGAUCGCAGAGAGAAUCCUGUUCGCAUAACGAAAGGGAGAAGGCGGCGAAGCGCUGGCGACCUUUCGUUCAAGGAGAGAGCAUAAUCCAUUACAUCUAGUCCACGUUUUCAAGGAGUCAUCACAAAAAAAGGAGUCCCACAUGCGGCCACGCCAUCAAGAAUGCGCAGAUCACUUCAUCACAUCAUCAGAGCAUCUCGUCAUCAUCCUCGGACACCUUACAAGCGAUCUUAGCAAUUUAUUUUGAGGAGUACGCCCAAUGCUCUACUGACCCGGUGACACUGCUCAGCAAGCACCGACAAUUCCUCUUUAUCCUUGCAUGCGUGCAUGGAAUUUCUGGCCUUGUAGGAUCGAAUUGGAAUUGCCGAGUUCCCGCAACGAUCGCUGCUGUUUAUUGCCUGCUGCUAUUGCUGAGUUGUGUCGAGUUGACCAUGGAUCUGUGAACUCGUCCUCGUCUUCAUCCUUACAUCAUUCCUUACCGGUCCCAUUCUUGGAGAUAACUUUUCCGAGCUAGGAUUUGCCAAGUCAAAUCUUGAUCAAUUGAUGUAAUCGAGCUUCCAGAGAUGAUCCAGCAGAUCCAGACGAUCUCUUACGCCACUCUCGAGUGCCUCGUCGUUCCGUCCGUGACUCCGUGCUGAGCCACAAAGCCCCGACGUGAGUUGCUCCAACGUUUCUCACCGCCUCAGCAACGUACCAGGGACAUCGACUUUCUUCUAUUCGUGACGUUGCUGUCGACAACUUAGAGGCAAGAUAGAAGGCCUUUUAACUGAACUCCAGCAAUCCCGAGCGGUUAUUCAACAUCAGCCCAGCAUCGUUGAGUCAAGGUCAAGCCUGGACAAUCAACUUCCGGUCCAUCAUCGUUGGCGAUCUAGUCCAUAAACCGCCGCUCACACUAUCGUCAUCAACAUCACUGUCCAUCACCGCCAUCCGAGCCUCAAAAUUCACAUAAUUACGGCAACAAGCCGAAGGAUUCUCGACAAAGGCUUGGCUUUAAAUUUGAAGAUUUGUUUUCCAUUGCUUGCUUGCGGUGUGGAAUUGUUUGUGUGCAGGUUAUUUGGGUCAGAGGGACACGUGAACCCGGUCAAAAGCACCAUGUCAUGUCAGUUUGAAGUCCAAGAGAACCUUCGUGAGCCAGGCCCAUCUCCGAGAACUUCAGGCACCCAUCAAAAAUUUCUCGACCCAUCAUCAUUGCUUGGCACCACCAGAUCGGUCCAGUGAUAUUGACGACCCUCGAUGUUCCGGCGAGUCCUCCACCGAGCUCAGAGCCAUCACCACCGCAAUUCGCAUGAUUUGUCCGUCUGAAUUUGGAAACAGUAUCCGAGUGAUAUUGCAAUUCAGGUAAUAAUUUUCAUUAAAUUGAUUUUCAUAUAUUUUUAUUUCCUAAUUUAUGAGAUCGCUAUCUCGCAUGAAAUUCCCGACUGAUAUUCGAAAUUUGAGAAUCAUCGACAGUCCAAUUUUCGCGUCCGAAAUCCGACUCACAAUCGCACGGAAAAUCGCAAAUUCGAUCUCACGCUUGAAAUUUGAUUCGCAAUUUAUUUAGAAAUUGGCCAACCCGAUCUCAUGCGCGAGAUACGGUUCGCCAAUUUGUGGAUAUCAAUCAUAUCUUAUUUGAUUUGCCGUCAUGUUGGUUGAAUCAAUUUUAUUUUUGUAAAAGGAAAAAUCCAAAAAAUAUUUGAAUUAGGAUUGGGUUGGUUUUAGAAUAUCUCUUGUUAUCUUGCAUAUUUAGAAUAGAGAUUCUAUUUCGAAUUUGUUAAAAAAUAAAAAAUAAAAAAUGCAUGCAUUUAGGAUGUUAAUUUUAAAUUUGAAUUGCACGUUUAAUUAUUUGGCAAUUUUUAAUUUCGAAGUUCAUAAAAGAAAAAGAAAAAAUUAGAAUUAGGGCAUUCUUUGCAUGUCAUUGCAUAUUAUGGUAGAUUGCAUACUUGUUAAGAAAAAAGAAAAAUGUCAUGUGCACGUCAUUAGGAUUAGAUUCAUGAAAUGCAUGCCAUUUAGUAGUUGUUGCUAGGUUUAUUCGAUUAAAAAUUGCAUGUCAUUAGAAUUAGGUCAUUUAGUUAUUUGCAUUGCAUAAAGCACGAUUCUCAUUAAUUAAGUGAAAACAAAAAGAAAUUGUGUGUUAAUUAGAAAUCUUGUUGAUAUGAAUUCUGAUAUAACAUUGCAGAUGCAGUUUUGCAAUUUUAUUCAUUGCUUUUCUUGGAUAUUAAAUUGGUUAUUUGCGCACACCUCACAUGUUAGGGAGAUAAUUUAAAAUCAAUUCAAACUGCCUGCCAAAUAUUUUUUUUUUCAAAAUAAAAAAAAAAAAGGUACCGAAAGGGCGUUGGAGAAGUCUAGCGUAACCAAGUCCUCGAACUCAUAAUCUCUGGUUCAAUCGACCCACCAAAAAUAGAUUAGUGGCGACUCCUAAUUACAAAUUUGCAUGUUAAGAACUUGAACCGAAAGUCGCGAAUUAGUAUAGGCUUGGGAGAGCCCGAGUUAAGUCUAGGCUUAAUAAUCCAUUAGCCAAAUCCUAGGUGAUGCACCCGAAAAUUUGGUCGCGAUACAUCGCCAUAGACAAAAUUGGUUCCUUGAUUUGACGGAUUUUCGUACUACACACAUCAACCAUUCACGUGCUCCAAUGGGGCCUCUCAUGCCCCGAGUCAUGAAACACCUACAAGAAUUUAUUUGCUUUGUCACCAUAUUAUUUAUCACCUAUGUACGUGUUUAUGCAUCAACUUUGGUGAAAAUCAUCAUAUAUAAACCGAAUCACUAUGACUCAAAUCAUUCCAUACAUAUAUGUAUGUAUGUAAAGUACAUUCAUUUUGUGAUUUUUGUCCUAUUAAAUCAAUGUAACAUGUACAAAAGGCGAUUGUUUGACGAGUUAGUCGCCCGAAGGAUCUCCAUGCUAAGUUCGAGAUUUUACAAAAGACAAGCUAAAUUGUUCCGUCUAGUCAAUUUCAAAAGAGUUGGAAUAUUGCAAAAUUAACGAUUUUUUUUUCUUUCGAAAAACAGAGCACCAUUUGUCUUAACGACAAGAAGAGACAUUACCAAAUUUUGUGGACAUACUUUGUCCGAGACCCGGCCCAUGUCCAGCAGCCCAGAUUGUGAUGGAUCCAGCAUGGACAGGCCCAUGGGGUGGCUGAUGGGCCUUGUCAAACACUAUUCAGUUGCUCUCCUAAGCUACAUCAAUGAUCAACGAUAAAAUUCUGUCACAAGACAAUUUUCUGUCCGGCACGAUGCAAAUAACGAGGUCUGAGAAUUAUAUAAUUACUUUCGAGACACGAGGUUCUCAUUUAUCUAAAUCAGUCAUAGCAUGGCAAGUGUUACAAACUUCCUUAUCUUCUUUCAAGAUCAAUGAUAGUUUUUCUACUUGAUGAUUCACUUGGAUGGAUUGAAAUGUCAUGCUUUGAGAGCACAUAAAAAUUUCUUAAUAAAUUGAUAUUUCAUUUCUUCUCUCGUACGAAUACCACUACCCGAUAUGCUUUGAGCGUUGAUCUUGUUAUAAAUGCCAUAUAAUCAUCAAUAUCAACUAGGUCAUAAUAAAGAUCAGUCUAAGUUUGCUGUACUUAAGUUCUUUGUGAGGUGCCCAAAACGAGCUCCAAAUCACAUAAAGACCUUCGACACGAGCCUGUAAUGUGAAGAGACCACCGACGUGAUCUCGAGUUUUGUAUAUUUGUAAUUUUAAUGCAUUAAUUUUGUGGACCUACUUGGUCUCAUCCCCAAGCCAUGUUUAUCGUCCAAGUUUGUCCUAACUAUCGACCUGGACUAGCUAAGUGCGCAUCGGUUCACCUCAAUCCGUCGUAAAUGGAAAUGCCGUCCCUGUUCAUAUCAAAAAAGUUUCACGUGACAAGCUCGAGCACUGCAAAAUCUGAUCUUUUGGAAAUGGUCUGUCUUGUUUUCGCGUCUUGCUCAUUGCAAGUUUUGAUCUUGGGAAACGGUCUCUGGACUUUUGCAGAUGACUUGAUGGGCUCUAUCAAAUGGACACUCUCGACAAAUAGAUUGGUGGAUUGAGAUAAGGCGGUCUUCACUCUUCACGGGAGAAAAUAUCUUUGGAGAAUACCCGUCAAAACCUGUAGUCAAAGCCCCCGGUUUCCUUAGAAUUCAGUGUCCGAGUGAGUGACGCAUGCCAUGAGGCCGCUAACUUCCGUCUUUUCCUGCAGAACUUCGAUCUUUUUCCAAUGUUCCGUUCGUAAAUUGUCUCAUUCUUUCACUCAUUCCUCGCUCUUGGCGCGUCCAGCAUUCACCAGAUUUUUUGGUGAAAGAACAGGACAAUGUUGAGGUCGGAGUGGUUUGAGAAUACCACCAAAACCUUUAGUCAAAGCCGCCACUUUCUUUAGAAUUCAGUGUCCGAGUUAGUGACGCAUGCGAUGAGGCCGCCAACGUCCCAUCUUUUCCUGCAGAACUUCGAUCUUUUUCCAACGUUCCCUUCAUAAAUCGUCUCAUUCUUGCACUCAUUCCUCGCUCUUGGUGCGUCCAGCGUUCGGCAGAUUUUUUUGUGAAAGAACAGGAAAAUGUUGAGCUCUCAGUGCUUUGAGAACCCACCGAACCUGAGCUCGACUUGUGGAGCAGGGCGUGUUGAAGAGCUCGCAGGCCUCAAGACUUACGUCACCGGCCCUUCUGAUUCCAAGCGUGCUCUUCUUUUCAUCCCUGAUGCUUUUGGUAAUGGCCUAUUUCUUUGAUUCUGAUUUUCUGUGUUGUUUCUCUGAUGGGUCUUUCUUUUUUGGUUGAUUGUGUUACUUCUUCUUGGUUCUUGGUCGUUCUUGUGCUUUUUCGAUCGAUCCAUGAAAUUGCCUCUUGAUGGAUCCUUUGCUCAUCUGUUUGUGCAGGGUAUGAGGCUCCUAAGCUGAGGUAUGGCGUGAUUACUUGCAUAGAAUCUUUCUUAUAGUGCCAUUUUUUGAAGUUUGCAAGUGAAUGACUCUGUAUUCUCCCUGUAUCUGAAAGCUCUGCCUUUCCGAUCACCUUUCCCCUGUGAUGCUGAAGAGCAUUAGAUAGCACAUGAGGGUGUGGCCAAUUCAUUCUGGAUGAGGGUGUUUGGUGUUUUUCUUUUCUGAGUUUACACAUCAUCUGUUGAAAUGCAUAUACGUUUGAUUUUGCGGCAUAAUUCAACUGACAUUUGAUGCACAUUGCGUAACUCAACAUAAAUGACAGUUUUGUUUGUUCUAAUAAAUUCUGCUACUUAUAUGGCUCAGCUGUUCAUGUGAUGCGGUUUCAUCUUGAGAUAAAGAUAGCCUUAGUUUCAACUCCGACAUCACAUAAGCUGGGAUCGCCCUGUUAAGGGUCAUGGCAUUCUAUGCGUUCACACGAUUGAAAAUGAUUGAGUUACCUUUUCAAAUUGUCAUACUUAUUUGUGGACCGCUUUUGUUGUAAAGGAAACUUGCAGAUAAGGUUGCAUCAGCGGGAUUCUUCGUGGUUGUACCUGAUUUCUAUUAUGGAGAUCCCGUUAUUGAUGUCAAUGAUCCUAAUUUCAAUAUAGAAGUUUGGCUAAAAAAUCAUAGCCCGGUGAGUUUUCCACUCCUUCAGGUCGUGAAAGUAUUAUAGCACAUUUAGAAGUUUAGAGGAAACAAGGGAUCUCCAAAUAGCAAACUUGACUUCUACACUCAUAUCACAUGUAGUAAGUUGCAUUAAUAGCUAGAUCUGGUUGGAGAGUGCUGGUCAUUUCAAAGAUUUUCGACACCCAUCUACGUCUGUAAUUUACCAAAUUCCAGACGUGAAACAUGAUGCGGUCUCAGUAGAAUGAGAGCACCAUGAAUUUUCAUGUCACCAGUUUUUUAGUUGUCUUUUCGUAAACUUUCACCCCAUUUACUUCUUUAGGAUAAAGGGUAUGAAGAUGCCAAGCCAGUGAUUGCCGCUCUUAAAAGUAAAGGUGUGUCUGCCAUUGGGGUUGCAGGAUUUUGUUGGGGAGGUAAAAUUUUCUGAAUUCACUUUCACAGUUCUGAGGAGGUUAUUGGGUUAAAUAGGGAAAACUUGUUCCCCAAAACAUCAUAGAAAAAUUAGUUCUGGUCACUUACGGAAAAGUUCUUUCAAAGUUUGUUAAAAAGAGCUUGCCUAUCCUUUUCAGGAAUGGUGCUAGUGAAAUUAGCAGGCACCGAAGACAUUCAAGCAGCAGUUAUUCUGCACCCUGGUCGUAUCACCGAAGAUGAAAUCAGAGGUAAAGCUAUGCCAGUGAACAUGGAAUUUCUUCUUAUUUUCAUUUCAACCAUAGCAACAUAAUUUCUUCAUGAGGGUAUUAGGCUGGGUACUUGGCAUGGGAGGCUUUGUGGACUAAUAUGAUGCUCUUAUGUAUAAGUUUAUGAAUUCUGAAAAGAGUCUGCAAAUGCAGCCAAGAGUGAUGAAGAAACCUGCCAUGCGUCUGGUCAAUUACAAGAAAAUCGAUCGCACAACAUUUGUCUGUUUGAGAAGAGUUCCUUAAACUGGAAGCCGCAAAAAUCUUAUUUUUGUCUAUUCUUUGUUCAGCCGUCAAGAUUCCAACUGCUAUAUUGGGAGCCGAGAAUGACCACAUUUUCCCUGCAGACGAACUGAAAAAGUUAGGGGAGAUCAUGUCGGCUAAAACUGAAGUAAGCGACUUAGGAUAUUUUGUGCAUUUGUUGCAAGAAAAAAUGUUGGAAAAUCCUACUGUUUUAUCACAUUCCCGUCAGUGAGCUCGCAAAGCACUUCUUCUCUCUGGUUAUUUCUAUGCAUCACCAAUUCAAAGAUCCCGGUUUUGCAGUUCGAGAGUUAUGUCAAAAUAUUCCCUGGUGUUAGACAUGGAUGGAGUGUGAGGUAUAAUGACGAUGACGAGUCCGCCGUCAAGAGUGCCAAAGAGGCCCAAGAGGACAUGUUGAAUUGGUUCUUGAAGCAUGUCAAGUGAAAAGUAAGGCAUUGAUGCAGAAUAUAGUGAGGAAUUUCAGGACUAGUCAUCUGUUUUGGAUUAGUCAUCUAUAAUGUUCUGUUGUGACUUUAAUAAAUAAGGCAUCGGUUUCGUAGAUCGAACUUUGCAGAUUGAGAGUGAAGUAUGUCAUGUAGAGUUGUAUCGUGCCAUCUGGGUUGAAUUCUCUGUUCAAAUUGAUUGGAUGUGUUCUCUAUCAGAUAGCGUAUUCGUUUAUUCAAAGGAAACUAUUUCUGCGGAGAGUAAGUUCAGUUUUCUAAAUCCAAAAAUGGAGUCCAUGGGCUUUCUUUUUCCCCUGCUUGGUUUUGAUAAAUUUUCUUAUGCGGAAUGAUUCAGUCUAUUCGAUCGAUAGAAUCAUGUUGAAAUAUCUGUCGACAAAUAAUCCUAAUGCUCAAAACUACAUCAAAGAUUGAAUUCAGCAUCACAAGACAAUUUUAUGCCUCAUGUAAUGCAGAUAACUAGUUUGGAAAAUCUCAUGGUUACCAUUGAGACAUGAUGUACUUAUAUGUCCAAAUCAAUCAUAGGGUGGCAAGUGUUAUGAACAUUUUUACUUUCUUUAUUCGCAAUAAAUGAUAGUGCUUUUCCAUGGGCAAUUGAUUUAGGUGGACCAAAACGUCAUGCUUCGAGAGCACCUAAAACUUUCUCCAUGGAUUGAGAUUUCAUUUUGUUUUCUGUCCAUAGUCUAUGCUAGAAACAUGAAUCCCACAACCUAAUAUGCUUUCGAGCCAAUGGUUGGGGGUGUUGAUCUUGUUUUGGAUGUCGGUAAUGAUCACCAUUGAUCAUGUCAUUUUAAUAACAAGGUGUCUAGUUUUGCUAUACUCGAGCACUUAGGAUAUAAUACGCGAAAAUGACAGGAUUUUACAAUUUACAUCAAUCCAAAAUCACCAAAGAAAUAAACGAGAAAAAUAAGGACACGAGAAAUUUAUGCAGUUCGAUCCGAGUAUCAGUACCUACGUCCACGGGGAGAGCCAGCAGCAAAUAAUUCACUAAAAUCGGAGUAUUCCCCAAACCUAACUCAUUUGGAUAUAAAUUCACGACACAAAAUUACUGCGCGCACAAGCUUAAAGUAUAACACGCGCGACUCUCUCUUCAACUUGACGUGCGGCUCCUUGCGGCUUCUUCUACGUCGGGCUUCCGCUGCUUCGUAGGGUUACAGCCGUGCGCUUCUUUCGGGCGGGUGAAAGACGUGCAACAAUUAUUUCUCUUUCUAUACGUGUGUGCCCAAUUCAAACUUUGACUUGGCCCACCUCUUUGUCUUUUUACGUUCAGAGGACUUUUCUCGCUCCUUUCUUUUAGAAAGAAGUUUAAUACGUGUGUGCACGUGUUGACUUUUGGGCCCCAUUUGGGCCCCACCCGGGUAACAAAGAAUUUGGCAAGCUUUCGUGGGUAAGGAAGAAAUUCAUAUCUUCGUUUUAUUUCCUCUUUUUGUAAUCCUUCAUUGAGUCCAACGGAGUUUUUUCUACUUGGAAAUCUUUAUCAACAAAAUUCAAUAUAAUAAAUCGUCAUCCGAAUUCAAACUCGAGACAUUAUUUAACAAUUUUCCACUUUUGCUCGAUAUUUGAAGCCAAAUUAUAGUGUUCAUCAUCCAUGCUGCUCUUCCAACACUUCGACGGGCGCUCACUCUGCUUGAGCUUCGCCAAAGAAACAGACUUAGUCAUUAUAUUUGCCGGGUUAUCUGCUAUAGCAAUCUUUUUGACAAUAACAUUAUCCCAACAUCUCGGAUGAAGUGGUACCUGAUGUUGAUAUACUUCAUUUGCUUAUGAUAAACUGAAUUAUACGCCAAAUAUAUUACACAUUGGUUAUCACAGUGUAUAUCCACACUUUUUUGUUCUAACCCAAAGUCCGAAAGCAAAUUUUGUAACCAUAUCGCAUUUUUUGCUACAGAGGUUAGUGCAUGUAUUUUGCCUCAAUCAAAGACAAGACAAUGUGAUCCUAUAAUGAUGCUUUCCAACUAACUACACCACCCGCUAGCGUAAACACAUACCCUGCUAAAGAUCUGCAGUCAUCAAAGUCACCGGUGUAAUCCAAAUCCACAAAACCAAUGGUCUCACUGCCAUUACUAUCCUUCCGGUAUACUAUACCCACGUCUGUUGUUCCCUUCAAAUAUUUGAAGAUUUACUUUCCAGCUUCCUAAUGAGUUUUAUCAUAACGUUUCAUACAGCGACUAACCACGCUCAUAGCUUGUGAAAUAUCAGGCUUAGUGCAUACCAUAUCAUACAUAAUACUACCCACGUCAUUAGAAUAAAAAAACAUAGGACAUAUGCUUCUCCUCCUCCUCAGUAUGCGAUGAUAAAUUUAUUUAAAAGUUUAAAGUGCUUCGCUAAAGGUGUACAUACAGAUUUUGUUGACUGCAUAUUAAAACGUGCAACGAUCUUCUCAAUAUAUUUUCAUAGACAUAAAACUCUUGCAGUCCUGCCAUGCAAAAUCUCCAUAUCCAAUUUUUUUUUUUGCAGCACCUAAAUCUUUAAUCUCAAAUUCAACAUUUAACUGCCUCUUCAGCACAUCAAUAUCAGACACAUUCUUAAUUGCUAUAAGCAUAUUAUUAACAUCUAAGAGUAGAUAAAUCAAAGAACUAUUUUCCAAUCUCUUAUAGUAAACACAACUAUCCAUUUGACUUUUUGUGUAGAGAAAUAAUCAAAACGUUUAUACCAUUGUCUAGAAGACUGUUUCAGCCUAUACAAAAAUUUAUUUAACAAGCAAACAUGAUAUUUCUUACCUGAAAUAGCAAAUCCCUUUGGUUGCUUCAUGUAAAUCCGCUCUUCCAACUCACAGUGAAGAAAUGUACUUUUCACAUCUAGCUGCUCUAACUCGAGAUCCUACGAAGCAACUAAGACAAGUAAAACACGAAUAGAAGUAUGUCUUACCAUAGGAGAGAACACCUUAUUGUAAUCAAUGCCUUCAUGAUGUGUAUACCCAUUCACUACAAGUCUUGCCUUAUACUUCGUUGCCUUGACACUGGAAAUGCUCUCUUUCCGUUUAAAGACCUAUUUACUUCCGACAAUCUUUUGGCUCUUUGGUACUUUGAUCAGCUCCCAUGUCUGAUUUCGAUGGAGUGAUUCCAUCUCUUCACUCAUAGCCCCUAGUUACUGCGACGACUCCGAACUAGCCAUUGCCUCAGAGUAAGACGAAGGCUCAUCUGUCUCCACCUCAUCACCUAUAAUUAAUGCAUAAGUAAUAUCUGUAUAAUCAUAACAUACUAGUGAUUUAAUCUGCCUUCUUUGUCUAUCUGCGGCUAUAAUGUGCCGCGGUUUUGCUGGUUGUUCACUAUCACCGACUUAAGAAACUGUGGCUUCAUUUGCAGUCUCAACUUCUAUUACUUUCGAAGUCUCUGGAGUCUCCACCUGAAGCUCCACUUCACUAAUGACAUCAUGAUCUGUCUUCUCUGCUGGUUGUGUCUCAAAUUUCCUUCGUUGAAGUAUUGCAGUCUUGUCGAAGAUCACAUCUCUACUAAUUAGAAAACCGGGUGAUUUACGAUCAGUGCACCACAGCUAGUAGCCUUUCAUCCCAUGUGCAUAACCCGGAAAUAUGCAUUUCUUCGCCCUCGACUCAAGCUUACCAUCACUCGCAUGAACAUAUGUAGGACAUCCAAAUAUAUGUAAUUUGGAGUAAUCAAUAGGUUUCCCCGACCAUACUUCCUCAAAAGUCUUCCACUCGAUAGCAGAUGAUGGAGAUCGAUUAACCAGGUAAGAUGACAUGUUCAUUGCUUCGAUCCAAAAUUCCUUGCCAAGUCCUGCAUGUGAAAGCAUGUAUUGAGUUCGUUUAGGUAAAGUUUUGUUCUUUCGUUCUACCACGCCAUUCUGUUGUGGUGUCCUAGGUAUUGUGUGGUGUCUUACAAUACUUUUGUUUUUGCAAAACUUGAUAAAAUCUUUACCACGGAACUCCAUGCCAUUAUUGGUUUUCAGGCACUUGAUUUGUUUAUCUGACUGCUUCUUAAUCAAUGGCUUAAAUUUCUUGAACCGAGCAAACACUUCAUAUUUGUGCUUCAGAAAGUAAACUCAUACAUUCCUCAAAUAAUCGUCAAUAAAUGUCAACAUAUAUUAGGCACAUGCUUUCGAAGGAACUAAAGACGGGCCUCAGACGUCUGAAUGAAUAUAUUCAACUAGUCGUUUGGUCGAAUGAAUAGCUGUAGUAAACUUAACUUAGUGCUACUUCUCAAAGAGGCAGUGCUCACAUAAGUCCAGCUUGUCUUUUGACCUUUCAACAACUCCCUUUCACUCAACAUUGUCAUACUUGCCUUACUCAUGUGCUUUAAACGCAUAUGUCAUAAUUGAGUCAAGUUAAAAUCCGACUCACUUGAUGAAGCUGCAGUGGUUCUGGUCACAGUAUGUCCCAGUAGAUGAUAAAGAAUAUUCACUUUCUUCCCCUUCAUCACUGUCAUGACAUCUUGAGAGAUCUUCAAUACUCUACUUUCAGCGGUUUACUUAUACCCGAUGUCAUCGAGUGUCCUCAGAGAAAUAAGGUUCUUCUUGAACUCUAGUACAUGCCUCACAUUUGUCAAUGUGCACACCACCUCAUCGUGCAUUCGGAUCCGAAUUGUCCCUAUCCCUACAGCCUUAUAGACUGCAUUAUUCCCUAAAAGAACCCUACCACCAUCUGCAACUUAGUAAGUAGUAAACUAGUUCUUAUGAGGCGUCAUAUGAUAAGAACACCCCGAAUCUAGCACCCAUUCGUCUCCUAACGAAGUAUCAGUCACACAUAAAACAGUUUCUGUAUCACUAGUGCUCCCCUCAGCAACGUUUGCCAUACUGCUUGUAGCAUUCUGUCUAUCAACUUUAUUUCUCCACUUUGGACAAUCUCUCAUGAUGUGCCCCUCCUCAUGACAUUCAAAGCACUUUGCGCGUCCCUUAGACUUUUUAUGGCGUGAUUUCAAUAUACUUUUACCUCUGCUGCUACUAGGCUCUUGAUAUUGUUUUCUACCCAAAUCAUUAGUGUUUGCGUUGCUCCUUUCGCCAAACCAUUAUCUCGCAAUUUUCUUUGUCACUCCUUAGAAAAUAAGGCGGACUUUACUUAUUCUGAGAUAAUAGUAGUAUGCCCCUGUAACAACGAAUCAGUAAAGUGCUCCCAUGACUCUGGUAAAGAAGCUAACAAUAUCAUGCCCUAUUCUUCAUCAUCAAGUAUCUUACCGACGUUCUUUAAAUCCAUCGUGAGUUUAUUAAAUUUAUUUAGGUGUGUUUAAAUAGAUGCACCUUCAGUAUAUCUAAACUAAAACAUCUUCUUCAAUAUGUACAAACGAUUGUCUUUUUACGUUCAGACGACUUCUGCCCCUCCUUUCUUUUAGAAAGAAGUUUUAUACGUGUGUGCGUGUGUUGACUUUUGGGCCCCACCUGGGUAACAAAGAAUUCGGUAAGCUUCCGCGGAUAAGGAAGAAAUUCGUGUCUUCCUUUUAUUUCCUCUUUUUGUAAUCUUUCGUCGAGUCCAACGAAAUUUCUUCUACUUAGAAAAUUUUUAUCAACAAAAUUCGAUAUAAUAAAAUCGUCAUCCGAAUUCAAAUUCGAGACAUUAUUUAACAUUAUAGGGUGCCUAAAUCAUGCAAAGCCCAAAUUUCAAAUUUUUGUUAUCUUACUACAUGUAUUUUGUGGACCUACUUGGUCUCAUCCCAUAUGCUUGGGUUCUAUCAUGUUCAAUAGAAUGUCACCAUAUCCAAGUUUGUCAUAGCUGUCGACCUAGAUUAGGCAAGCACACAUCAAUUCGCUUCAGUCCGUUGUGAGUAAAUUAUGAGCUGGGAUAAAUGUAAGUGAAUCUCAAGUGAUGCACUGGAGAAAAUAUUUGGAAAUGCCAUCGAACCUCACCUUUUGUCUCUUCUAAGUAGUUAUUGAAUGAUCGGGAACGCCUUCCCACCGAGUCAAGUCAAUGUCGCCCCUACUAUCCAGAUAUUUGGAAAUGCCAUCGAACCCCACCUUUUGUCACUGCUAAGUAGUUAUUGAAUGAUCGGGAACGCCUUCCCACCGAGUCAAGUCAAUGUCGCCCCUACUAUCUUCCACCUCUCGACGUGAGGAAGUUAUUAUUGCCCGAGUGACGCAUGUAAUGACGCCUUGAGGCCCUCCAUCCUUUCCUUAUAAAAUACUCGUUCUUUUCCCCUGUUGCCUCUCACAACUUGUCCCGUUCUUGCACCGAUUCCUCACUCCUAGUGCGUCCCACUUUCACCAGAUUUCUGAGGAAGAAAGGAAAAUGUCGAGCUCUCAGUGUUUUGAGAACCCACCAAACCUGAGCUCCACUUGCGGAGCAGGACACAUUGAAGAGCUUGCAGGUCUCAAGACUUACGUCACCGGCCCUUCCGAUUCCAAGCGUGCUGUUCUUCUCAUCGCCGAUGCUUUCGGUACUGGCCCAUUUCUUUAAUUUUGAUUUUGUGGUGUUUCUCUCAGUUGGGUCUUUUCUUUUGGUCAAUUAUGUAUAUCUUCUUGGUUCUUUGUCGUUCUUGUGCUUUUCGAUUGGUCCAUGAUAUUGCUGCUUGAUUGAUGAUCUUUGCUCAUCUGUUUGUGCAGGGUAUGAGGCUCCUAAGCUGAGGUAUGGAAUCUUUCUCAAGUUGUUCUAUGUAUAUGUUGUUCUGUAGUGCCAUCUUUUUAAGUUUCAUAGUGAAUAAACUCUGUAUUCUCCGGAUAGCAUACAUUUGAAAGCUUUGCUUUUCCGUUCACCUUUCACCUGUGAUGACGAAGAGCAUUAGAUGGCACUUGAGGGCGAAGCCAGUUCAUUCUGGAUGAGUGUGUUUGGCGUUCUUCUGUUCCAAGUUAAAACAUCAUUUGUUGAAUUGUAUAUACACGUGGGACUUCAUGGCAUAGUUCAGCUGACAUUUGAUAUACAUCGCUUGAUUCAAUAUGAAUCACAGUUUUCUUUGUUCUAAUGAUUUCCGCUACUAAUAUGGCUCAGCUGGUUAUGUAAUUCGGUUUCAUCUUGAGAUAGAGUUAUCCUUAGUUGCAACACCAAAAUCACAUAAGCUGGGUUUGCCUUCUUGACAGUCCCGGCAUGAUUCUAUGUUUUAACAAGAUUGAGAAUGAUGAGAGUUACCUUUUCAAAUGGUCAUACUUAUUUGCGGAAUGCUUUUGUUGUGUAGGAAACUUGCAGAUAAAAUUGCAUCAGCAGGAUUCUUGGUGGUUGUACCUGAUUUCUUUUACGGAGAUCCCAUUAUUGAUUUCACUAGUCCUAAUUUCAAUUUAGAAGCUUGGUUUAAGAAUCACGGCACGGUGAGUUUUUCACUCCUUCAGGCUGUGAAAGUGUGACAGUACAUUUAGAAGUUCAGAGGAAACAAGGGGCUUUCUACUGUGCAAACUUGAUUUGUAGACUCGAAUCACACGCAGUAAGUUGCAUUGGUAUUUAGACCUGGUUGGAGAUUGCUGGUCAUUUCAAAGAUUUUCAACGCCCAUCAAGAUCUUUAUUAUACCAAAUUCCAAAUGCAAAACAUGAAACAGCAUAAGUAGAAUAAAAGCCUCAUGAAUUUUGAUGUUACCGACUUUUAGGCAGU